rnacentral:lncRNA from 1 species
CAUGGUAAGCUUGCACUUAAGGAUAUUAUCCGUUGUAAGAAACCGGAUGUGGUUAUCCUGUUGGAAACUAAGUGCCAAUUCAAAAGGGUGAGUAGAUUUUGGAACACUCUUGACUACACACCCAUUUUCAUUGAGGAGGCCCGAGGCUUUAGUGGUGGGAUUUGGGUACUCUCUCAUAGAGGGUCAAAUGUAUCCUUCCGUCUUGUGAAGGCUCAUCCGCAAGUGGUCACUUUUGAGGUGUGGAAGGCCAAUCUUUCUUGGGUCUGCAGUGCAAUGUAUGCUUCUCCGAUUCCGGCCCAGCGAGAUACCUUAUGGAACCGUCUUCUCCACUUAAGGAGUUCAAUCAUUCUACCUUGGCUCCUUGUGGGGGACUUCAACGAGAUUCUCCUCCCUUCUGAAGUUCGAGGUGGUGACUUCCUCGCUAAUAGAGCAGAUCUUUUUGCCUCAAUUAUGGACCAGUGUAACCUCAUUGACUCGGGCUCAGUGGGGCGCCAAUACACUUGGUUCAGGAAAGUAAACAACCGUCUGGUCUUGUCCAAGCGUUUGGAUAGAGCUUUUGGUGUGUGGAGUUUCCUGAUGCUUUUGUCGAGGUUCUAAACAGAGUCCAUUUUGACCAUGCCCCCCUCCUCCUUCAUUGUGGCAAUACAGUGACUUACACCCAAGACUGUCCCUUUCACUUCCUGGCCGCUUGGGCGGAGCACUCUCAGUUUGAGACCCUUGUGGAGAAUUCGUGGAGAACUGGUGAGGAGAACAUCAGCCUAAAAUUGAACCGGAUUAGGGAGGCCUCCCAAGUGUUCAACAAAGAGGUUUUUGGUAAUAUCUUCAGGAGGAAGAGACAUAUUGAAGGCCGCCUGAGAGGGGUCCAACGUGAACUUGAUUCCAUGGUCACCUCAAAUCUGGUUAUGUUUGAAGCGGAGUUGCAGUGGGAAUAUAGAAAUAUUCUCAAGCAAGAGGAACUCAUGUGGUACCAGAAAGCGAGAGACAAUAGGGUGAAAUUUGGAGAUAGGAACACUGCCUAUUUCCAUACUCAAACUGUCAUUAGACGGAAAAGGAACCAUAUCCAUCAGCUCAAAGUUGGGGAUGGAGGGUGGUGCUCAGAUGUCGAGGUCCUAAAGCAGGAGGUACAAGACUUCUUCACCAAGCUUUUUGCGGUUGACACAUCAUUCCAAGGUGCCCACCUUAGCCAUGAUCGCUUUCCCACCUUGACAGAUGAGGCUAAGGCCUCCCUUGUCCAACCAGUCACGCAGGAAGAGGUUAAAGAAGCUUUUAUGAGCAUGAAAUCCUACACAGCUCCAGGUCCAGAUGGCUUUCAACCUUUCUUUUACAAAAAAUAUUGGAACCAUGUUGGACAAUCCUUGUGGAAGCUGGUGAGAGAUGCUUUCCAGGAAGGCCAGGUCAAUGAGGAUUAGAUGGAGAUAUUGGUGGUCCUUAUCCCGAAGGUGGAUAAUCCUUCCACAGUCAAGGAGCUCCGCCCUAUAAGUCUCUACAAUGUCACUUACAAGUUGAUUACAAAGGUCAUGGUCAAUAGAAUUCGCCCCUUCCUGAAUAAGUUGAUUGGCCCGAUGCAAAAUAGCUUCCUCCCAGGGAGAGGAACGAUGGACAAUGCCUUCCUCGCCCAGAAGAUAAUCCAUCACAUGUAUCUCUCCUCUGCUAAGAAGGGGAGCUUGGCAUUUAAAAUUGACCUUGAGAAGGCGUAUGAUAGUGUUUCUUGGGAUUUUCUCAAGGAGACCUUGGAAUAUUAUGGCUUUCCGGAAACGACAAUUUGCCUUAUCAUGUGUUGUGUUACAUCUUCUCACAUCUCCAUUCUUUGGAAUGGCUCUAGGCUCCCUAAAUUCAAACCCGGGCGGGGCCUGAGACAAGGGGAUCCCCUAUCUCCAUAUCUUUAUGUUCUAUGUAUGGAGCAACUCUCUGUCACUAUUCAGAAUCGUGUGGAUACAGGUGAUUGGAAACUAGUGAGAAUUUCAAGAUGAGGACCUCCAAUAUCUCAUUUAUUCUUUGCAGAUGAUGUGCUUCUUUUCUGCAAAGCAACAACAACUCAAGUUAAUCUCCUGGCGGGAACCAUGAAACCUUCUGUGAUAGCUCGGGGCUUAAAAUUAAUAUGAACAAGUCCAAAGCCAUAACCUCAAAGGGAGUUAGUACAGAAGUAAGGAGUGAGAUCUCUAGAAUUGCCCCAAUCCCUUUUGUCCGGGACUUGGGCAAAUACUUGGGAUUUCCCCUGAAAGGGGGAUGCAUGAGGAUUGAGGAGUAGAAAUUUUAAUUUCCUUAUUGAGAACAUUCAACGCAAGCUGGGUACAUGGAGGAGGAACAUGCUUAAUUGCAGGGAGGAUUUAUCUUGCAAAAUCCGUCAUUUCAGCCAUCCCAGCCUAUACAAUGCAAGUUUUUUAUCUCCCUCGAACUGUGACUAAUCGCAUCAAUCAAAUGAUUCGCUCUUUUAUAUGGGCGAGCAAGGGUGGUACUCAGGGAUGGCACCUUGUUAGUUGGGAUAAAAUUAAGCGAGCUAAAGAACAUGGUGGGCUGGCGGUGCGGAUGUGGGCUUGGCUAAUGUAAGACCCAAGUUUUUAAGUUUAGAAUAAGUGAAUAAAAUUCCUAUUCACGAAUAGGUUUGAUGUAUCGUGAAGGGAAACCUGAACAAGAGUUUAUCGAAUGGAAUAAAUUUAUGAAGGAGAAAGUUCAGGAAAAGUCUAAGGACUGUAUCAAAGUCGAUAAAAGUUAUAGCACGAUUAGUAUUCGCUUAAACCUAGGGCAAGAGCGCUAGUAAAUAGCUAAUUUACACUUAAAGACACGAUGGAAACUAAUUCCAAAAAUCUUCAGAGAAAUGUUAGAACUUCUCUUAAUCCGUCUAUAACAAGCGUUUCGAUGCGAAACCCUAGAAUGUACGAACGUCCGAUUCCAAUCCUCGGAGGUUUGCCGAAACUAAAACUCUGAUAGUUCAAGAAACCUAAGAUGAACGGUUGAUGAAGACUUUUUCUAUUCGGAGCUUCAAAUGAAGAUUCCACACGCGUACACCCAUUUCUCUUGGUGUUUCCAAUCUUUCUUCAGAAAGAAGAUUUCUCAUCCGACAUCCACUGCAAAAAGUAGUUUAUCGGGUAAAAUAGAUUUACACCGACUUUGGAUUGUUUACCUUAAUUCCAAUAAACCUCUAUUAAGUUUUCGAAUUCUGUCGCCAAAACCUAUCUUAGAAUUCACGGAGAAUGAAGCCGGAAAAAUCGGAAUCGCGAAAUUUUCAUUUUCCCGCAUUUUCCCAUCCCCUAUAAAUAAAAGAAAAAGAUCAAAACCUUCACCAUUUUCACCAUAGAGGCCGCGAGUUUGAGAGGAGAGGGAGGAGAAAAGAUUUUCGCCGUUUCUUGCUUGAUCGUUGUUCUGACAAUUGCUACUUGAAGGUAUCGAGGUAUAGUUGCUCAUCCUUACUUCUGAUCGUCAAUUCCGUAGUUUUUCACUAUGUCUUUCUGUACUCUAAGUUUUGAGGUUUUUGCAAAACUGUCCAAAUAACUUCAUCUUUCUAUCUAAACAUCUUCCCUACGUGCCCAAGAGCAUGUUUAGCGGAUUACAUUUCGCCGAUUCUCGCCGAACUGCCGCCGAGUUUCAAUUCUGCUUCAAAUACCCAUUUUUAGACAAAGUUUCGUCCUUUGGGCUGAAAACUAUCGACUGAGCUUAGUGUCAUUAGGAUUAGUCGUCAUAAACAUCGUUGGUGACGUCCCCAUCAAGUUUGUUUUUCGAAUUUCCAAUUUUGAAAUUCUGAGCUAAAAAUAUUGACCAAAAUACCCCUGCGACAGUUUUUGAUCCGAUAAUUUUUCCGAGUUUAGAUUCGCCUUAGUUACGACUAAUGAUAGCAUAGGAACCAAGUUUGAUCGAAGAAAAAUCGACACACACAAUUGUGAUGUGUGGCCGUGAGCUAUCCAAGGGGAGGAAGAAAAUUUCUUUUUCAAAAACUUGUCCUUUCGCGUUAGAUUAUCGUACUUCGGAGUAUAUGCUACUUCGUGUAACCUUAGUGAGUAUUGAUUGCUGAGUUUCUGACUGAUUAUGAUGGAAUUCUGUGGUUUUUGCUCUAAGGUUCAUUUGAGGAAUUUCCCGAAGAACAAGGCGUGGAGUGUGAAGGAACGUUCGAGGAUAACCCUGGAAGAACUACAGGUGAGGGCUACUCACUGAACUAUUAGUUAAUGCUUUAGGUGUCGACGCAUUCGACUUGAUUUACUGUUUAUGCACUUGUUUGUGUUUGACUGGGAAAAUGUUUUCUGAGGCUUCGGCUGACAAUGAUGAUUAUUCAUCUCUGAACUGUUUUUGAGAUUGAUUCACAUGCUAUGUGCUAAGUGGUUAAUCUAGGAUGUGUGAUAUUUGCUCUAUAUGCUAAGUGCUAAAUGGUUCAUCUAGGAUGUGUUGAUAUAUGUGCCAUGAUUGUGGGAUUGUGCUAAUUUGACUAUGCAAUUACAUAUAUAUCUGUUGUGAUCCAGAGUGAGGAUAACGGGCAAGCCAUGCCAAAAUUUACUACGAGAGUUUGGGAAAGUUUGACGGGACGAACGGAGGUUCGGGCCUUGUUAUUGUUUUAGUGGAUCGAGACAUUCUCUGGGAGUUAUUAGGGAUAUGGGAUCUUUGAAAACUCAUAAGAUUUGCGAUAAAACUAAAUGGAAACUAAUUUACAAGGAAAAUUCAUAAGACAUUAAACAACCUCUAAAUCUUUAAAUAAUGAUAACAAUCUCGAAUGAAAGCUUAGGAUUCAAAUCUUAGUUUUUGGAAAAUGAGAAGUGUCGUCGAGUCCAAGUGUUGAGGGAACUAAUAAGUUCUGAGUAUGUUGAUACUCUUUUGCUCGAGGAGCAGUUGUGUUGUUGGGCUAUCCGAAAGAUAAGCCGGGAAAUGGGUAGUUUCCGAGUAUGUUGAUACUCUUUGCUCGCUGAGCAGUUUUGACCAUCGGAUGGAGAUGAGUCGGAUGAUUCGAGGAAUCAUCAUGAGAUAAUGUGUUUUGUAAUGAAUGGUCUUUUGUCGCAGAAUCGACUUUUGCCUUAGGGUAUGCUUUUAGAGACAAUAAGUUAGCUAGAACACGUGGCGACGUGUCGAGUGAGGUCGGAUACGUUGUUUGGCUAAUCACUUUGCAUUCAUGCACACAUUAAGAGGUUUAAACACGGGACGAACUCCGGACCUCGGUGGAUUCCAAAAUGGUCAUAAGACCCGGAUUUCCGCGUAAGAACACUGCUAGGUGAUUCUUAGUAGCAGACCGAAAUGGCAGACCUUCGGGUUUACUGCUGAUCUGACUACCAUUGUUGUUGGUGUAAGAGGCACGCGAGCCGAAAUGGUCUCACCGUGGCUGGUGCUAGGGCUGAUCCGUUGAUGUCCAUCCUUUCCGGAAUGCAUCUUGUUAACCGGCAUUGCACUUCAUGCAACAUGCAUACUGACUUAGUUGCUGAGUGUGAUUGUUACUUGUUAAUCUUAUUUGAUGCAUAUUAUGUGUUAUUAUUGUCGUUAUAUUCAUUGUGAAAUAUACAACCCUAGGAUGCUAUCUCUAACUUAUAAGCCUAAGUGGCUACCCCUUACCUUUACCUAUUGGAGUUAUUAUUUACAUAAUUCUUUGGAGUUGACCCUCGCGUCUUCUGUGUGUGCUUUGGCGGACUACGCCCCUUGUCAGAUGUCUUUGGCGGACUGAUUCACGAUGGUCCACCCUUCGGGGGGGACUAGGUACGAGAUGUUAGAUCAGGAUGACCCCGGUUCGUGGGUGGUCGACCCCGCUGGCCACCGAGCGACGUACUCGGGGAGGAUUAUGGAGGACCAUGUUGAGCGAUGGGGACACUUGACGGAAGGAGUGCUGAGGAGAUGCACUGUCAGUUUCAACUUGCCACCCGGCGUGCACUGCGGACCCGGAGUACGAGCACCACCACCACCGUCAUCUUCGGAUGAUGAGGACCCCUCAGAGGAGGAGCCUGUGGGAGGGACUUCUGCGGAGUCCAGCUCACCUACUGUUGCUGUCAUCGAUGACUUUGGCUCGGGCCCUAAGCCCGUGAGGCCAGCACAGGAGCGCAUCGCGGUAGCGAGAGGAGGGAGGAUGGUGUAUAUAGACUUGGUCGUUCUGGAUUCAGAUUCGGACGACGAUCACGCUAGCACGUAGUUUUGAGUGCUGGUGUGAGCUCCUCGAGAUAGGAUUAGUGUAGGAGUAAAGUCUUAGCUCUGACCGUCAUGUUUCAUUUGGGGACAGGGUAGUUUCCUGCCGAUAGCUUUUUGUGUGGUUUCUUUACGGAAAUCACAGAGAGUUGGUUGGACUAGGGGGUCUUGUUUUAGGCCGUUUGGGCUGACUUAUUCUCAUUUUUGAGGGAUUGUGUUGCGGACACUUGACCUAUCCUUUUGGAUUGUACAUAUUGCCUACGGGCGUUGUUUUUGUUACUUUCCGUCACUGGAGGUUACUCGUGACGAGGUUCGUUACUUACAGCGGGGGCUGUAUUUAUAUUUUGUACAUUAGUUCUGUUAUCUUUUGUUGUUGAGUUUAUUUCAUUAAGUCUUUAGUUUUAUCAGUUAAGUAAAUCAAAAAAAAAAAUUCACGUUUUUUCCGCUUAAGUUUCUUUUUUGUUACUAAAGUGACGCCACCGAAAUCAGGGUGUUACAGCAAACACGACAUUGCUGGGCAAAGCCGUGUGGAGCCUCAUCCAUAAACCUCAAAAGUUAUGGGUACAAGACAUGAAACACAAAUACUUGGAUUCUAACUCUGUUUUGCAAGUUCAAUCUAAGAGGAAUGAUUCACCAAUAUGGAAAGGAAUUCUCAAAGCCCGUGAUCACCUCAGGUCGGGGUUCAAAUUCAGUUUAGGAGAUGGGUCUACGUCACUGUGGUAUGACAAUUAGAGCAGCGAAGGUAGAGUGGCGGAUUUGAUACCGUAUGUUGACAUUCAUGAUGUGAACGUGAAGCUGCGUGACAUUAUUCAGUCUCAUGUCUGGAACUUAGAGCUCCUGUACAUAGUGUUACCUCAGAACAUUGCCUCCCAGUUGCAGCUCUUGAAACCCCAAUUAGUUGUCAAUCGUCAGGACCUUUGGGUGUGGGAAAGCAGCGAUAGUGGGUGCUACACCGUCAAAGAUGGGUAUUCUUGGCUCGCAGACCGGUUGCAGCAACAUGAAAACCUUGAGGAUUGGCGUUGGCUUUGGCGUUUAAAGAUUCCGGAGAGAAUCCGAAUAUUCAUCUGGCUGGCGGUGCACAAUUCCAUUCAAACAAACCUACACCGCUUCAGAUGUAACAUGGCAGCGUCUCCUAGCUGCACUCGUUGUUCUGCUCCUGAGGAAGAUGCAAUCCACUGCUUGAGGGAUUACCCUCAUUCAAAGGAGUUAUGGAUGCGUGCGGGUGCGCUUUCAUGGCCAGGGUUCAUGCAGAAUGGGUGUGAUGCGUGGGUACGGAGCCAGGUUCAGGGGAGGAAUGGCAGCCGUUUUCUGGCAUGUUUAUGGGGGAUAUGGAAGUGGCGUAAUAACAUGAUUUUCGAGGAGGAUCCUUGGACCGUUGAUGUGGCGUGGCGUCGGUUAUGCAAUGAACAUGAUGAGAUCCAGAAGGUCUUGAGUGGGGAGGCCGAAUCAGAGGGCAGAAAUUGGAUGGCUAGAAGGUGGCAGCCACCGCCAGCAGGAGCGUUUAAUCUAUGUGUCGAUGGCAGCUAUAAUCCCGUUGUCAAGGUCAUGGGUUCCGGCGGCCUGAUUCGCAACCACCAGGGACAUUGGGUAGGCGGAUUUCACAGUCAUCUUGCAGGAGGAAAUGUGCUCCUUGCGGAAGCUAGGGCUCUGUUGACAGGAUUGCAGAUCGCUUGGGAGCAAGGAAUCAAGGAUCUAAUUUGCAACAUUGAUUGCGGUAAUCUGUUGCGGGCGCUGCAGGACGAGGAUAAUCGUAGUUUCUUCCCUAUCCUCACCGAGAUUCAUGACCUGAAGAGCACGGAAUGGAAGGUGACUAUCAAUGUGAUUAGCAGGGACUGCAAUCAACCAGCAGAUUGGUUGGCCAAGAAGGGUGCUUCCGCUACGUCCAUGAAUCUGUGUCUCCUGGAGGCUCCGCCUUCAGACUUAGAGAUCCUCAUUUUGAGGGAUCGGUUGGCUAUUCCUUAGUCUUUUAUUUUGUUGUUAAUUUUCCGAUGUAGCAAAAAAAAAGGUGCCAUGUGGGUUGAGUGAGGAAGGUUCAGGGAUCAAUACUUUGAGAGUGCAAUUUAUCUUUCUGAUGUAUAAAAAAAAGAGGUGAAGUCCAAUUUGCUCCAUCCAGGGAUGGCAAUUUUGCCCAAACCCAUGGGUAUCCGCCCAAACCCGAUUCGAUUUGAUGGACAAAACCCGAUAUGAUUGGAUUUGGGUUUGGGUUUUGCCCGUUACUGUAGCAAUUUAUGGGUUUGGUAGUAGUUAAAUAUGUGCCCAUACCCGCCCGAACCCGAACCCAAAUAUACCCGAAACAUAAAAUUGCAAAAAAAACCCUCGUAUAUAUUUAUAAACUUUGUUCUUAGUGUUUGACAAUUAAUUGUACCUUUGUAUGUUUGAGAAAGUAAACUCUAAACUAUUGUUGUCUAACUUUGGUGAUGGAUGAAGAUGAUAAAUAGUAUUUGUUUUUUUUUCUUUCUAAGAAUUUACUUUUUUUUUAUGAAAGCAGAUUUUGAAUUGGAUUUUGGGACGGGUUACUAUUUCACAUAAGUAAUGGAUUUGAGUUUGAGUCCCGUGCCCGUUGCCAUCCCUAGCUCCAUCUCAUAUUGUUCACAUCCUGUGUUGCCCUAAUGCUGUUUGUUUUUUUAUUUUCCCAUGUAACCAAACAAAUAUCUACCCAACUAGGUUCUUCUCGCUCUUAUACUUAUACUUUGGGUUCUUCACUUCUUUGGCUGGCAUCCAGGAUUGAUUGACUAUAUGUGGCUUUAAAUAAGAUUUGAUUCGAUUAAAGUACUAUUUAAUUAAAGGACCACUAAGGUCUAAGGUAUGGGGCACUCAUUUUGACAAACAUGUAUUUCUUCCUAGGUCCCUUGACAGCUACUUGCAUGACAUUGAUUGGUAUCAAUCCUACGGUUUAAUUGUUUUUUUUGUAAAACAUAAACUUAUUUGCACUAUCUCUAUCUAUUGUGAUUGUACGUUUAGGUCCUUAAUAUUCAAAAUGAACAAUUUUGAUACAAAUUUUUUUGAAGUGUGAAAAUUGAGGCACAUCCAAAAUGUAAUAGACAUGUGGACCGUGAAUGUCAACUUGAGUGUUUCAUAUCAUAUUUUAAUUUAAUGAUAAAAUUGAAUUAUUUAAUACCCAAAAAUCCCUAAUUAUAAUCCCUAUCACCUUCGUGAGAGAAAAGGGAAAUUGGAACAAACGGAGCUUGAGGGUGGUUUUGGUCAGAGGUUGAUUACCCGUGACCACUGUUAAUCACUUCAACCUUCACUUCUAGUCGACACGAGCCAUUGCACUGCCUGAAGAAGAAUUAGUUACAAUGAAAGCCUGCAAUAUCCAAGCUCCACUUUGGUUACUUCAAAGCCAUUGAUAAAAACCUGCGUGGAAACAGAGGCUGCCACCUCCUCAAAAUAGAAACCAAAACCCCUCACUCCACGACCUCCUUCCCAAGUCGACACAACAACUCUACGUCUCACUACCUCAACAACACCACACACCCAACCACUUAGAACGCCUCUCUAUUCCCCUAAAACCUUCGCGAACCACCAUGACCAUGGAGUAAAAGUUUUUGCGGAACCUAAUCAUAUACUACCCAAUUCAACUUGAUUUAAAAAUCCAACUUAACACAUACAUGACACACUGAAGAUUUACUAAGACAACUCUGAUAAAAUUUGGAUGUAUCACUAAUGGAAUGACUUGAUAGGAAGUAGGAACACAUCAUAAAAUUUGAGGACCCAAGUCACUCCAUUUAUACAUGAGACCGAAAUUGUAUAAUCACGAUAUAUGAGGGGCCCAAAGUACAAUAAAGCCAUAAAAAAUGUAAAAAUCCUUAAAAAAAUCUUAUGAAAAAAAAAAGAAAAUACUAUGACAAGUAAUAAUUUCAUAUGCUUGUAGUUCUAUUUGUACCAAUUAAUAUGUAUUAAAAUGUGAGUUGUCCAAAGUGUGACGGUAAGCAUCACUAUGAUAAUCUUUCCACAUAAUUUCAUAUGCUAAACCCUAACAGAAAUCAAACUAAACAUGGACUUCGGUUUCAAGCUUUUUCUUCAGUAAUUUUCUUAAGAGGAUGUCUGUCCUCUUUCUUUAUACUAUUCCUUCCUUCCUUAAUAGAAGUUCUUUUUCUAUGUAAAAAAUGAUGAACUAAAAGAACAUAGAGAAAGAGAACCAUUAAAUGGUUUUAGGAAAUCAAACGGAAAUAAAGGUUCGACUUUUUUCUAUAAAAUAGACUGAAGAAAAAUGGAAAUAAAUUGUGUUCUAAAGCUAGUGAAAGCUUGAUUUACUCACUUCCAUUUUAGAUGUUGAGAAUGUAUAGAAAUAUAACUCAUAUCUAGAUGUAUAUUUGCCCUCCAAAAUGUUCCCUGCAGAACUAAGAUAAGUCUCCAUAUCACUUGCUCUUCUUUGGUUUCGUAUAUUGAGCUAUCAGUGCUUCAACAUCCUUCCAAAAGAGGCCCUCAACUAAGAUUCCGUCGUUGGUGAACCUGAAAUCCACACAAAAAUACACUGAAGCGUUUUGAACUACAAAAAGCACUGUAACAGAUUCACAUGUCCAGUGUAAUUGUGUAGGCAUGCAUAAGUAAUGGGGAUUGGAAUGGGGGGAUUAGAGAGAGAUGUGUAUAUAUACCACUGAGUAACACUUUUAGUAAAAUGUACUGGUUCAUUUGUAGAAAUUGAUUUUGGCUCUGCACUUGCUAUGGUAAGCGUGUACAUGUCAGAAAAUCUAGGCAAUUUGGAGGAAACUACCAAACCGGUACCGGAUCCCUGUAAGAAAGAAAUAACAUCCAAGUUCAAAGUUAAUUAUUAGUUACCGACUUAGACUUGUGAAGAUCAGUCAUAAGCAUAGUAGUUGAAAUAGAGCAUCUAUUAUUCAUAUAGAAAUACAACUCUAGCAUUAAAGACAGGUGCCGCUUGAGCUAAGUUCACAGAAACUUACAGCAGGAGGAUAAGUAAACAGUAUAGCAUCUUUCUCCUUAGUGUAUAUGAUCAGCUGCAACAACCCAUUGAAGAUUACAUACGUACGAGAGUCAAGGAUCAAACAGCACUGAAGCAGAAUGAAUUAAAAUUACAAAAUAUCAGCAAUCCCGGUUCCUUUCUCACACAAAGCAUCAAACCCAUUUAGCAAGGAACUUUGGAAACUUUCAAUUUGAAUAAUGCCCACAUCCCACGCUACUUCAAAGAGUUAAUUCAAGAUGUUUCAUUUUCCAUCACCCCCAUUAGACCCCCCCCCCCCAAAUACGCACAAACAAAACGUUUGAAAUAUUCUUAGUUUUAGAUGCUUCCUUAUUCAAUUUUACCCUCACAGCGCAAUGUCAUCAAGCAUAUGUAUAUUUUUUCAAACAGCCCAACAAAAUAUAACAACAAUAAUAAAGAGGCAGGAAAAGGAUAUAAAGCGAUGCAGGCAAGGACAAAAUCCUUAUUCUCGGGGAACUUCUUCUUGUAAAACUGAGAGAAGAGAGCAAUGACGAUGAUGACAGCCCCAAUCAACAGUCUCACGUUGCUCAAUCUCACAUCUUCCACAUACCCAUUACUCUUCACUAUCUACAAACACAAAAUUGUCCAAUUAGUAAACCAAAAACUACACCUUUUCUCUGAACACUAAGCACACAUAACAUAAUCAUGCACAUACAAAAGCAGGAUUACACCUUUUCAACUAUGUAAAAAUGCAUAGGUAAAUCCAGACAAAAUACAUUUCAAGCCACUUAGACUGAGAAAGUAGUGAGAAACUUUAGUUAGUUUGCAUAAGAACUUGGGUUCAAACUUCGUUGUCGCAAUUGUAUACGAAAAAAUAAAAAGAACACAACGUCCGCCGUCACAAGUGCAGAAGCAGGACUCUACAUCAACCCAGUGUUAUCAAAUAGCGGCUAUAGCGUAGUGGAUUUUUGGCUAAUCGCGACGCCGCUAUCGCCCACUCUAUUCCCGCUAUUCGCCUCUAAAUAGCGGCCGAAAUAGCGGAUUCUUGGCUCACCGCGAUGGUCCGUGAUUUGACAACACUGCAUCCACCACCCACCUGUAACCCUAAGUCCUCCUUACUACACACACACUGAAAUCUGAAUUAGAUCACCUCACAUUCAGCUACAUUAUCAUGACUAUCCAGAAACAAGCCCUACUAGCACAAUGUAACCUAGCCAAUCAUGUCAACACAUAAUCAACAGAAAAUUCUCGUCCUGUUUCACCAAUUAACAUCAAGGAACUUGACUACUAUGCUUUAUCAAAGUGAAAAAUACACAACAGAUAGGCACAUUGACUUAAAAUUUGACUUCAAAAAAGAGGCAAAAUCAUACAUUGAACUAGUACAUCAAUUGCAAAAAAAGAUCGUCCAACAUCGAAAAUGGGAAAAAGAGAGGGGUUAGGGUUUUAGCCGACCGACCUCAGAGACAGACUCGUCGAGAAUGUGCUUGAUGGAGUUGUGAUCUAAGAGGUUGGUUUUCUUCGGAGACUUGGACGCCAUUUUUCACUCUCUGAGACUCAGACUACUUGUCUUGACCAGUGACGGAAGAAGAGAAGAGGGAAUGCGUUUCAAUCGAAACCUUCGGACUGUGCAUGCAAUGCAAUAUAUACUAGCAUUUGCUUGCUGGUGCACCGGCUCACUGAAUAAAACCUCCGCUUGGUGCGUAAUGCGCACUGGUCUUCUUACAUAUUUUGUUGCAUCAAUUUUUUGUUUUUUGUUUUUCAAUUGAAUUGGAUGAGGCUGAAAAUGAGUUAAAUCAAAAUCAAUUCAUUUCCUCACACCCAUUAGAAAAAAUAAUAUUGUCUUUUGAGAGUCAGUCUUGCAAUACUGAUUGGUCAUAGCAAAAGUAUAUUAUAAUUUUUUUUUUAUGCAUCGGAAAAUUACAAAGCAAAACUAAAGAGCUAAACAAUCCCUGAGCAAGAGGGUCUCCAACUCAAAGGAAGGAACAUCAAUGACCCAAAAGCUAUGAUUGAAACUACGAGCCACAAUCCGGGCCAAAUAAUCAGCUACAGCGUUACAAUCCCUGGGAAUACGACUCAGAGAAACAUCCCAGCUCCUCUCCAAAAGAUUCUGGAUUUGGUCAGCAACGACAAACACUCCAUUCCUAUCCUGGCGGUGCCCCCUGAGGAAGGUAAGUGUACACCCUCCUUAAAUCCCAACCUCCAUUCGCCACCACGUCCCUCAAGGCAAGCUUUGUAUCAGCUAUGUUUACGUAUGGGACCUGUAAAGCAAGCGCACCUGUGCCACUCCAAUCCGUGUACCACAGAGAAGAAUGACCAUUCCCAAGCUUGAAUGAGAAACCCUCCUUCAGGUGAUCCCUAGCCCGCAAAAUACCCUUCCAAACCGGUGAAUCAUUCUGGUUUCUAGUCAACUGCAGGAUCGAGUUCCCUCGCACAUAUUUCUUUGUGAACAUUUGAACCCACAAUUUUUCUGGACAAUGCAACACGUUCCACACCGAUUUUCCCAAUAGAGCUGUGUUGGCUAGCUCCAUAUCUCUCACCCCGAGACCCCCAUCAUUUUUUCUACGGGUCAAGACAUUCCAGUUCACCAAAUGCCACCCUCGGUCACCUCUUCCUUUCCCCCAAAUGAACCUACGCAUAUCCUGAUUCAACUUCUCGAUCAAACCCCUAGGGAGCCAAAAUACUUGCAUAAUGUAAGUUGGAAUGGAAGCCAUAACUGAUUUCACCAAGCAAGUUCUACCAGCCAUAUUCAACAUAUUAACCUUCCAGGAAGCUAACUUCUUGUUAAUAUUAUCCAAUAAAAAAUUGAGACUACUUCCACGAGAGCUCCCACCCUGAAGGGGAAAGCCCAAGUACUUUCCCAAGUUUCUGACACAAGGAAUAGGAGCUAUACGUGUGAUUUCUUCACGAACCUCAUGUCUAACACCCUUAGAGGAGAUCGCCUUAGAUUUACUGAGAUUCACUUUCAGCCCUGAACUAUCACAAAACUUUUGCAAGGCAGUAGCCACAAGAUUUACCUGGGUAACAGACGCUUCACAAAAUAGUAACACGUCGUCUGCAAAGAAUAGAUGAGAGAUCGGGGGACCAUCUUUGGAAACUCUAAUCGGUUCCUAGGCUCCAUUAUCUACUUGAUGCUGGAUAUAAACAGACAAACGCUCCAUACAAAGUACAAAAAGAUAAGGAGAUAUGGGAUCCCCUUGGCGAAGCCCACGUCCCGGUCUAAAAGGGUCAAGUUUGUCUCCAUUCCACAAUAGAGAAAUCUGAGAAGAGCUAACACAACACAUGAUCAACUCAAUUAUGAUUCUUGGAAAUCCAAAGAGUUCCAAGGUCUCUUUUCAGGAAGCCCCAGGAAAUGCUAUCAUAUGCCUUCUCAAGGUCAAUUUUAAAAGCCAAGUUGCCUUGUCUCGACAAGGAUUUAUUCAUAUAGUGCACCACCUCCUGUGCAGUAUAUUAUAAUUUUAGAUUAACUUAUAAUGUGUUUUUUUUUUAGUAAAAUAUCUUAUCGCGAUAGUCGUGAGACUAAUUCAUUAUUUCACGAUCAGUGCAUUAAAUGAUACAUGAUUGACCAAUGAGUUUUUCAUUCUCAAAAAAUUGAUUUAAACCACCAACAACUGACUUAAGAGACACUUAUAUUGUGUUUUCUCUUACGGCUAGGAGUUCGAGAUAAUACAUUUUAUGAAAAGUUAUAAAAUGUGUAUAAACUGAUCAUGCUUUAGAUCAUAUCACCACCAUAAAUUUAAACAUAUUAUUUAGCCAUAAUAAGUAUGUUAGCAAGUAGCAACAAUUUUUUAAUACAUUCUAUAUAAUUUGUCCAUUUAAAAUAGUCAACUCUUUUUAAAAAAUAAAUAAUCGUAAAAUACCUAGUAAGAAAAUGUGUACUCUUACUAGGCUAUUAUACCAAUUAGAUACCCUAGUUGGCUGAAUUUGACGUGACUCAUUGGUCGUUAGACCAACAUAACGUCGCUUGGCUACUCCAUGAUAUUUAGCCACCCGAGAAUAAAAUUUUUAAUCUUUGCAUAAAUGUCGAUCAUGUAUUUACGUGAUUCUAGCCUAUCACGUGAAUUGUAAUUAAAGAGACCUCGAAUAUGUAAGGGCACCCUAAUACUGGUAGGAGACCUGUAAACAUAGGAUUUCAUGAGGGAGAGUGAGGCGCCUGACUAGCACAUCUUUGAUCCUGUGAUUUGUUUUCGUGUACAUAUGGCGGCGCUCAUUGUGUGUUCUAGUAAAACUUUCCCAGACCCCAACCUUUGAACCUUCAAUUUCUACCAAGGAGACAUGGUGCUCACACGAAAUGGGAAUCCAUCGGGUAAUGUUGCAAAUGACAAGUGAGAGAUCUCAGAAGCUCUAAUACGAGGUCUGAUGACCAACUUAGCCAAACUUCGAGAACAAAAUCAUUUACUUCAGACUCGGGUGGCUAACCUAACUCGCAAGUAACGGUGGCACAAAGAGGAACCCCAAGGAGAACAUUCAUAAAUCAUUUCAAACAACUAUCGCCUCCACAACGAUCCCAAACAAUUUUAAAACCCUUGUCAGACUCUUAUGAUGGCACUUCAGAUCCAAAGGAGCAUCCAUAAAUCAUUUCAAACAACUAGCUCCCUUGGUUGAGAAUGACAAUAUUUUUUACUAGUAAAAUUGUAGGAAUUUGAAAGCUCAGCAGUAAAGGGAUUAAAAAUUCCAUUCCAAGAAUCAACAUUCCCAAUUGCAUGUCUUAGAAAAUAGAUGAAACGAUAGUAUGAUAGUAAAUGUUAUGUUUAGUUACUUUUAUGGAUAACAAAAUAGUUAGCAAUAAGAUCAAGUGGUCUAUAUACUCACAACACAAGAAUAUAAAUUCCAUUGGGGAAAUGUCUGAAGAAGAUAAUCAAGAUAGUUAAAGCCAUAUUCUAAUCCCCUAUUUAUUAAGUUACAAGCUUUCCAAUGCCAGAAUCUAUUUCCUACCAAUUGAAUGAAUAUGCCAACUGAAUAUGGUUCAAGAAAUAUCAAUCAGAAGCAAACUAAAUUAAAUGAUUUCCAGUCACAGAGGCUUUGGCUUUACAGUGUUGGAAGAAGCCUUAGUGAGCAAUAAACGGAUCUGCUUAACUAGUUCUUCCUUCACCAUAAACAAAACAGCAGCAGCCAGCACACUUUGUACAAUUUUAGUGCCCAUGCCUUUGUAAAACCCAUAAAGCCCUUCAUACCGGAUCAUCUUAAUAAUAGCAUCCUGUGUGCCUGGAUUUGAAGAACAUGCAACUUCAGAUUGGAAUCAAUGAAAUAUAUGGAAUGAAGACAGAAGACUUAAUGGGUACAGAUUUCAAUGAGAUUGAUAUGCUUAUGGAAACACAGAACAGAACUUUUAUGAUGGGUUUUCUCCCAGUGUGUGUGGUAAUCCUCACUGCAUUUUCUUUGCAAUAUAGCAUUAGAGAAUCGCGCUUAUGCUUUUAAAGUGAAAAUCAUAGCUUUAAGAAGUUUAUAAUUUGUUUCAAGUUAGUUCCAGAAGGACAUGUGGCGCUGAUUCAUUGGCGUGGCAAACAUGUCAGCAAAUCACCAGCCAAAAGAUACAUGUACCAUUCACACCAGCGACCAGCCUCGCUAUUUUAUAAUUUGAGACCAGAAGUAAAGAUGAAGCACAACAAUUGGUUUAUGAACCAUAUUCAUGGUAUAAUAAAAGAUCGUCAAAACUUAAACCUUUAUAAUUGUGUCUCUUGUCUCCAUUUUUAACCUGUCUAGCUUGAAGCCUUGCCUGCAAUAGGAACAUAACAAGUUAGGGAUUGAGAAGAAGCAUUUUGGGUGCAGAUCCUCAUUUACUUUUAUCGGCUCUCCUCAUUUAUUAGUUCUUGUGAAUAAUGGACAUCAACAUAACCCACAAGGAUAUGCUCACGCAACAAAAUUAAGAACUUGACUAUCGAGUAUUAGAACAAACAAUUAUCUAACAUUGCAAUAAAAAACCCGACAUCAUUGAUAACAGAUGAGUAAUUUACCAACAGCAUUAGAUUAGGCACAUGUAUCAUAAAAACAAACAAAUAAUUUGUCAUUUUCUUGUAAUGCAUAAAAAAUCGCUACUCCAACUUUUCCAAGUUCCAACUAGUAUGAUUACAAUAUAGAUGUUGAUGUCCUAGAAAACACUACAAGACAAAUUUAUGACACAUUCUAGCAUUUUGUGAUCCUAAAACUAUAUUCAGAUGAUUUCUUGGUUUUAUCUUCUCAGACAUUCAAAUAGAUCCAUACUCCCUUUCUUUGAGUACUACAAUGCACAACGCUGUGUUCAGGUAAGAAUUUUUCUUUUUCAAAUUCUACAUGAAAGUAAUGCCAUUGAUGAGUUUAUUGUUUGACAAUCAUUGCCUGCCUACUUGCCAAAAAAAUGUCUAUGGCCAAUGAAGGUUUCUACCAUUAACCUCCAUGUCUGCAGUUCAAGAAUUAUUAUAUUUAAUUGCUCAUUAUUAUUUUUACUCUGCUAAAAUUAAGAUUACAUAGAGCCAGAUAAAAUCAGCAUAAUGCAAAAACUAGUAUGAUAUACCUUCACAACUAGGAGAGGAUAAGUUACAACAGUAGCUCCAAGCUUAGCCAAAGCUCCAAGAAGAAAUAUCUAGUGACAGAAAGCAAUCUUAGUCUGACAAUGUUGCAAACAAUUAAAACUAAUACAAUAAAAAAAUAAAAGGGCCUAUUUUUCCUGAGAAACUAUUUCCUAUUUUUAUUUCCUGUUUUUACUUUUAGUUACAACAAUGCCAUCUUGUUUUCAAUUAGCUGCUGUUUUUUAAAAUUUAGCAGGAAACAGUGAAAAAAACUUUUUUCUUUGGUUUUCAUUGUAUAUCCUAUACAACCUUUGAAAACAAGAAACCAAAUAGAAACAGAACAUUUCCUCAAAGUAAAAGUAAAACACCCUACGUGUGAAUGAAGCCAUUCGUAAAUCGUAAGCCAUUUUACUAACAUAAGUGAAAUAAGAUAAUACCUCCAAAGCAGUUACCCCAUUGCUAUCCUUCUUACGUUGAGCACGUCUUCUUUUUAACUUCACUAACAUGGCUUCAUACAGCAUGAAUUGUAUGGAAGGAUUGCUUACCUGAGAAAUGAUCAGCGACAACCAAUCACUCAAACUCUUUUAGCAUGAAAAAGAUUCACAACCAAGUACCAACAUACCAUGACCAAUGUUGGUAGUACACCUUUCCAGAAACCCAAGACUCCAGCUUCAUCAUAAACUUCUUGAAUCUGCAAACACACAGUAGAAUAUUAUACAUACAUAAGUUAACUUUCCAGGUUUGGAGUUUACAAUGUUCAAUCAGACUCAAAUUCAUGCAAAGUGUAAAGCGUCAUCCGAACUCCCCAGAAACAAGAGGAGAACUUCACUAAAAUUCUAUGUAUGAUGAGAGGGAAAACAUUAAUUAUGAAUUAUAAAUCAAUUCAUCGAAAUAUUUUCAGAUCACCUCUUCCAAUUCAAAUAUAAAUUAUGCAAAAUGUAGCAUACUAAUCAAGAGUCUUGAGUCAAGAGUCAAGAGUCAAGACAAGCUCACGUUCUCUAAAAAAUUCUCAUGGGUGAAUAGCUUAGAAAGAAUAACUAGAAAAACUUGUCUAAAUUGCCACAUGAGGUGUCAUGUGAGCAGGACUUUCAUAAUAAGGAUACAGAGGCCAUAGAGAGACUUUGCUUACCACAUGGCUAGUUCCAUAAGAAAGGGGCUCAACAGUAGAAAGCACUGUUUGUCCUGUGGCAUCUGACAACCGCUGAUCAGGGUGAGUUCUGCUUGAAUCUUUUUUAUGGGUCUGCACAGUAAAAAGAACUUCUUUUGACUCAAAAAAUAUAAUCAAUGAAUGUAAUAUUUGUUGGGUGAGUCAAGUAGAAAUAUAAUUAGAGAUAAACAGACAGGCCACUUAUCUUCUGCUACUUUGUUCCAAUUCAUUCUGAACAGUCAAACACUGGACUACAGGUGAAUUUUUUUUUUGAAAAACUUAUUGAAACACAAAUGGCAUAAAAGAUAAGUGACGGAUGGUGUUAUGCUAUAUCCUAUUCUAAAUAACUUUAACUUGACCAAUAGAAUCCCUUUUGUGUAUUCUUGACAUAGAGGUUCCAAAACAGCAGCAAAAUUCCUAAAACCCCUGAUGAGAUAAGUCUUAUAGUGUAAAUAUUCAAUCCCAAUAUCGAAAUUGUUUGCAUAGACAACAAAAAAACAGAUCAUCUCAUUAUUUCCGAAUUUUUUUCAGUAGAAAUCCCAAUUCUAUUAUUAGAUUUGAGUCCACUACCAAUAUCUGGGUUGUGGAUAUGAAAUACUCUCUUUUACAAGUCCAAAUAAGCAUCAGAAUUCAUGAAUCUUUCAGUUAAAAGUUUAUUUACAAAUAAGUUGAAAGUCUUUGAGGAAUUCUUUAGGAGGGAAGGAAUAAAUAAACAUCCGGAAGUCUUUGUUAUUUCAUUCCCCCCCCCCCCCAAAGUAACCAGAUUCUAGAAUCAAAUAAUGAGAAAAGGAAGUUUCCCAAAGACAACAAUAUGUCUCAAUUCAUGUUUAGUGCAUACUAGAAAAUAAGAAAAGUGAACGGACAGGGAGAGGAAGGAAGGGGAGCGCCAGAGGAUAGAAAGCAUAAAGGUGAAAAUCAACUAACGCUAAUUACCUGCAUGCGGGUAACGACUAACCAUAUGGGAUUUGUCAAGAGCACAUUAACACACCUACAAGAAGGAUUUAACGAGGAAGUUGGGUCAAACCACAUGAACAUAAAGUCUUACACGAUCUGCGAUCCUAACAACUCGAUUGAGAGAUGAAAAAGCAAACUAAAAACACGGGUUCUUUACAGACAAGUAAAUUUUACCCAGAUAAAGCAGCAACAAAAAGUGAGGACAUCAUCCCAACUGAUCCAUCACCAAUGCCUAGCCUUUUUUGUUCUAAUGCACCUGCUUCAGCUCGGUUCCUGAAUAUUUGAUAGAAAUAAUAGUAAACACCCUGUAUCAUAAAAUUGUAGUAAUCAAAAAAUGGGAAAACUAAAUAAAAAGUUAACAGGUUGCCAGAAAAUACAUCAUGCAGGAUCCAUGACUUGUAAAACUUUCAUUUUGAUUAAAAAAGAGUAACACUACAAACUUUCCUAUGAGUCAUCAUCAUUUAUAAGGCCCCCUCUCUAGGUUUGAUGAGCACUGAAACUGUCCUAAAAUUCUCAACUAAAACAAGUCAAUUUAACUUGCAAGACUAAUCUUUAGGUCAGACAAUCUUUGAUUUUGGGUUCACAUCAUAGUUGCAUUGCAUCUAGCAAAAUAUAGCUCCCACGGUAUGAAUAUAAUAGCUAAUAGCCAAUGAUGCAAGAAUUAGCAAGACCUUUUACUUAAAACUCCCACAAGCCCAAAUUGGCAGGAAAAAAAAAGCCAGUAAAUAUUUAAUUCAAAUGCAAUAAGCGUGAUAUAGGGAACUCAGUCAGUAAAUAGGGAUGGAAUUGAAGUACAACUGAUAGGUAAGGAUUGAAACAGAGGUAAAUUUUGAAUUGUCAUGUGACUAUGUAUCAUUUCUGUUCAAAUUCACCACACAUGUAUAUUACUACAUUUUCACAGCCAAUGUUCCCUUCAGUUAUUUCCCAAACAAAUAACAUAAACAGCAGUAAUUACAUUUUAUCAAUGAAAAAUUGUUAGGAACUUCCCAGUGCAAGAGAAAUCUCUUGGUUUCUACAUUGAAUGUGUACCACAUUAGCUUUGUGCGCCAUUAGGGUCCCUAACUCAAAUUUGUAGCUCACACAGUAAACAUUCAAUGGUCUAAAGCAAGAGAAAUCUCUUCCUUGUGAAGCAACUAAAAAAUUAUCUUGAUUCCAGUAAAUCUACAUUUCAAACACUGGACAAAGUAAAACCUCAAAUCAUGUUAUUCCUGAGAAAAUUUUGAUAUAGAUACUAAAUUGACAGCAUCUAUUUUCAAUUUGUGUUAAUAAUCUUACUCUCACAAAACAACAAAAAAGUGUCAACAUCCUCAAUCAUUGCAUUAUUAUAAUUUUCUAACUUUCUCACUCCAACAAGAACAACAAAAAUGAAAUAUAUCAAGAAACAAAUAUACAAAAUAUGACUAGCUGCAAGAUUAUAAAGUUAAGACGGAGCAUCCGAUACAAAGAGCAGCAACAUCAUCAAACCAGAAGCUAAAAUGAGCUCACCUGAGAUGCAGCUGUACCCACUAGUGAUGGUGUCAAACCUCCAUAUAACCGCUCCCACCCCUCAUGUUUAACAACCUACAAAACAUGUUCCCAUAACCAAUCAAUUAUUUCGUUGACCAAAAACACAAAACAAUUCAGAUAAACAAUCAUGACAUGAUCCGGGGUUAAAAUCAGAAACCUGGCACAUUAGCUGGAAAGUUCCUAGAUUCUUGUUGUUCUUGUUCGGAUCACGAUCGGUUUGUUGACGAGUGUUUACCUGAAAAUCACCACCCCACAAAAAAUAAAUCAAAAUUUUCACAUCUAGAGAAACAUACUGAAGAAAAAUACAAGUUUGAAACCAUGUUCGUACCGUUUGAAGAGGGUAUGUGAUGAGCUGAGCAAUGAUCCCUCCUCCAGCUCCGGCCAGACCAUUGAUGACAGCGUCAGACAUGUUUGGCGCUCGAGAAAAUGGAGAUCGGUUGUGGGGUGAUUUUCUCAGGAGAUCAUGCCAUCGAGGAAGAGAGAGAGACGGGGAGAAGAAGAUAAAAACUGUGAUUCGUGAGAGAAAAUGGGAAAGACCGCGCGCUUACGAGUGCAUUUGUCUGUAGUAGCAAAAGGGUCGUGGAUUCAGAGUUUUCACAACAGAGUUUGUUUCGCUGUCAAUGUUGCGUUUGGGAAAGGUAGUGACAUUAAUUAACGUUUGUAGAGGGUGGUUGUGACUUGUGCGUGGACAGUUCUGCCCUUUAUUGUGGGAAUAUGCUUCUGCUAUUUGCCUUGAUUGGUACAUACAACAACACACAACGUGUAUAUUCAGAGAAGGAGCAAGAGAGAGAUCUCCAUGCUUGAAGGCAACCUAUGCUUUUUUUUUUUUUUUUUUUCAAAAGUGUAUGGAAUAAAACUCAAAAGUUUGUCAAAUGACAUUUACAACAUGCGAGAAUCUCUGAGAACUACCACAAUGCACACAAUCAUAAAAAAAUAAAGAGCAAGCAUGCCUACUCAGCUGAAACAAUCAGCAUUAAACAUGAUGUAAAAACCCUUGAGACAAACAAAAGCCCCUCAUAGCCCAAAUUAACAAAGCGCCAUAUGACUUCUGAGCGAAGAAGAUAUGAACAACUUUAACCAGCGCUCCCAAACCUACAACCCAACUCUGCCGGAUUAGUAGCGCGCCGACGAAAAGGAAGCCUACAGCGUGGCUUCAGCGGCAACAAAAGGGGUCAUUUCACAGCUCUGAGAACAAGGCGAUGAGGGAAACUUCUAAUGAUUCCAAAAACACAGCAGCAACAAAAGCUGAAGGGGCGAAGGAUGAAGUAGGUGAGAGAAGCCCAGAAGGAAUGCCAGAGAUCGUUGUGCCGUGAGCGAAACCAACAGAGUGGAGAACCAGCGCUGGUACUGUGGCCGGAGCUAAAUGUGGGGAUCAGAACUGUUACCACGAACAGUGGAGCACAGAUCCAACCCACUUUCCUUACAAAACAGAUUCAGCUCAAGGUCACCUCUUGCAACCUAAGGUGCCACCAGAAAGGGACGAAGAAGAAGAUGGCCUCAGGCACAGGUUGCAACGGCUGUGGGAGGAGGAUGGGGUGUAUGGCCAAGGAAGGGAGAAACUCAAGCUAAAACAAGAGAAACAAAACCCACUUAUUUGGGUAAGAAAUCCACCUAAUGUGGAAGAAACCCACCUGAUGUGGGAAGGAACCCACCUAAUGUGGGAAGGAAGCUCUAAAAAGCAGAAGGAAAGCCUCCAUGGUGGAGGAGAAAACCCCCCAAUGGGGGAGGAGACCCCCAAAGGGGGUUGACGGCGCUGCACACCAAGUUGUGCCCUAGCAGAGGAGUUGAUUUUUGGUCUGGUACAGUUAGCUUUGACCUCAAGCAUGCCCCCCAACCUAUGCUUAUUGGGAUGUGUAUUUUUGGGGGCUAAUACUUGGGUUAAGCCUACUAUGCGGGAAAAAAAAAUUCUACAACACUUUUUGUCCUGUUGAAUUAAGUGGGCUAAAGAUGUCUUAAUGAAUAAAAAACAAACAAAUUACAUUUCUUUAUGAAAAAAAGUUGAGGCACUAUCUAAGAGGAACUAAACUGAACAAAAAUUAGGAAAUGUUCUAAAAAACAAAGUGUCCAACAAAUCUAAACCAUGUAUGGUUAGGGUAUCCGCUAAAGAGUUCGUCUUCUGAAAGAUAAGUCAUAUCUAAUGAUAAUCUUUGGUGUCUUCUUUGAUGAAACAACUUUAAUCCCCAACAAAGGUUGUACAACCUUGCAUAAGGGCUUUUUGACCCACUAUUGGAGACUUUUCAAAUUUUUCAUUUUUUGAUUAAUAAAAUUAAUAUCUUUUACUUUUGGUCCUAAAUUAUGCAAAAAAGUUGGGUUAGUCGGGAAUCAUGCUGAGUUAUACUUCUAUUAAUUCACUUAGGUUCUUCUUUUUAUAAUUAUACUAUGGCAACCAUUCUUCUUCUUCACCAAUCCCACGUCCCUUGGGUUUCCAGGUUAGAUGAAGUUGGGUCGAUGCGGGGAUAGUGGACUUUUGUGGUUUUAUGGUGAAAGUUUGUUGAUGAGUUGUAAGUUUGAAAAUUGGUGAUUUAUGUUUCAGGAUUGAUUGAUGAAUUGUGUUGUGAUUGAGAUGAAAAUUGAUGAUUUUCGAUGAAGACUGAUGAAGGUUAUCUAAUUUAGCCAAACAAAAAAAUAUUAAUUUCUAUCUUAAGUUUAGUUUAAUUAUUAAUUAAAUACGUGUCAUUUAAAUUUUAAUUAAAAAUAUCGUAGACUAUGCCGUAUCAGCUCUAGCCUACCACCCGAUCCUCUCACGACGACCAAAGUCUUAGUUUCCCUAAACACAAGGGUACAUUGUUGCAAAUUUUAAGUAAGGGACGAAAGCCAAUAUACUGAAUAUAGUGUCAAACUUAUGACUAAUAUGAUCAUUAUCCAUUUGCACUUUCAUUUGGAUUUAAUUUAUAUGCAAGAGUAUUUUCACAUGCAUUAUAUCACAUAUCUCCAUUUUUUAUUAUAAAUACUUUUUAAAUUCAAAUUUAAUUAUGAUAUAUUUUAUUGAUGAAUUUUAAUUUGAUGACUCUGUAAAACUAUUUUACAUUAUCAGUACAUAUUAAUUAAACUCUUUUUAUUUUAUAUUUUAUACUUUUCAUUUAUUCUGUGUUGACUUUCUUGACUUUACUUUACUAGUGUUUUUUUUACCCGUGCGUUGCACNNNNNNNNNNNNNNNNNNNNNNNNNNNNNNNNNNNNNNNNNNNNNNNNNNNNNNNNNNNNNNNNNNNNNNNNNNNNNNNNNNNNNNNNNNNNNNNNNNNNNNNNNNNNNNNNNNNNNNNNNNNNNNNNNNNNNNNNNNNNNNNNNNNNNNNNNNNNNNNNNNNNNNNNNNNNNNNNNNNNNNNNNNNNNNNNNNNNNNNNNNNNNNNNNNNNNNNNNNNNNNNNNNNNNNNNNNNNNNNNNNNNNNNNNNNNNNNNNNNNNNNNNNNNNNNNNNNNNNNNNNNNNNNNNNNNNNNNNNNNNNNNNNNNNNNNNNNNNNNNNNNNNNNNNNNNNNNNNNNNNNNNNNNNNNNNNNNNNNNNNNNNNNNNNNNNNNNNNNNNNNNNNNNNNNNNNNNNNNNNNNNNNNNNNNNNNNNNNNNNNNNNNNNNNNNNNNNNNNNNNNNNNNNNNNNNNNNNNNNNNNNNNNNNNNNNNNNNNNNNNNNNNNNNNNNNNNNNNNNNNNNNNNNNNNNNNNNNNNNNNNNNNNNNNNNNNNNNNNNNNNNNNNNNNNNNNNNNNNNNNNNNNNNNNNNNNNNNNNNNNNNNNNNNNNNNNNNNNNNNNNNNNNNNNNNNNNNNNNNNNNNNNNNNNNNNNNNNNNNNNNNNNNNNNNNNNNNNNNNNNNNNNNNNNNNNNNNNNNNNNNNNNNNNNNNNNNNNNNNNNNNNNNNNNNNNNNNNNNNNNNNNNNNNNNNNNNNNNNNNNNNNNNNNNNNNNNNNNNNNNNNNNNNNNNNNNNNNNNNNNNNNNNNNNNNNNNNNNNNNNNNNNNNNNNNNNNNNNNNNNNNNNNNNNNNNNNNNNNNNNNNNNNNNNNNNNNNNNNNNNNNNNNNNNNNNNNNNNNNNNNNNNNNNNNNNNNNNNNNNNNNNNNNNNNNNNNNNNNNNNNNNNNNNNNNNNNNNNNNNNNNNNNNNNNNNNNNNNNNNNNNNNNNNNNNNNNNNNNNNNNNNNNNNNNNNNNNNNNNNUUGUUAGGUUACUAAUGUGACUCCUCAGUUGAGAAAUUGGGGUGUUACAGGUGCACUGGGUCGCUAGCUCUAUAUUGAUCUCCAUCACAACAGCUCUAGAAGAGUAAAAAAAGUCCCAAUAGUAGGGGCGAUGAAUAAAAAGCAAUGAUAAUAUUAACUAGAGGCUUGAUUCUGAUGUCAAAUAUAUUUAAGGUGAAUGUUUUUUUUUUAUGUUAUGAUGAUUGUAAUUUGGUGAUCAUGUAUUCUAUGUAGUGUCGUCGUCACCCAUUACCACCUCCACUUUCACCACCACGACUAUUGUCACCCUGCCCAAUCAUCGCAACCACCUCCACCAGCACCACCACCGCCUCAUGCACCCUCGACUACCACCCACCACCAAGUAACAACCCCCCUUCACCGUAGUUGUUGCCAUUAGGUACUACCGACCUCCAUCACCUCUGCUACCUGACCCCUCCACCAUCGUGUCAUCGCAACCACUCACCGUCGUGAAUUUAAAAAGCGACAAAGCUCUUUUAAAUUAAAAAUAAUUUUUAAGCUAUAAAAAAUAAAAACUGACAAUCUAACAUUUACUUUCUUCUUAAAUCUCUUGUUUUAAAAUUUAACAUAAAAAUAACUUUUAAGACAAGAUAAAGUUGAGCCAAAUAGAACAUUAGCAUAAAAAUUGAAAAGAAUUAUUCUUAUUGUUCUCCAAUGAUAUUGAGGUUUAUAAUUAUCUACGGAAUUCUUUUUAAAAAAAUAUUCAAAAAAUUGAAAUUUAAUAAUCUUUAUCAAAUUUGAAUCGAUUUACCUUUAUAAAAUAAAUUUCACAAAAAACAUGUAAAAUUUCAUUAAGCUAGAAAAAAAGGGCUAUAACUAUAAGGCUAAAAUCCUAGGGAUGCAUAAUGCAUUGACAAAAAAAAGCGAAGGCAGAGAGAAAGGGUUUAAGCAAACCAAAACUAGGGUUCAAGCAAACGCUUCCACCACCACCACCACCACCACCACCACUGUUUUCCGAUCAUGUUGGCUCUUCGUCGAGCUUCUCUCCCUCUCAGGUUCGCUCUCUCUUCAUCACUCUCCUCCAUUUCUCAUUUCCAUUUCUACAGAGAGCGAGAGAUUUUUGAUUUUUGAUUUUUGAUUUUUGAUUUUUGAUUUUUGAUUUUUGUUUGUGUAGGAAAAGAGGGUUUAAUGUUAGGGUUUCAUGUGCCAAAUUAACAUCAACCACUGUAGAAGACAAAGCUGAGUCCUAUCCAACGAUUCAUGCUAGUGUUGGUGUGUUUCAUCCUUCACUGAAUGCUAGUUUCCAUUCUUUGAAAUUCAAUGUGUGUGGUUCACGUCACCUUUCGUCGAAUGCCGGUGCGAGUAGCACCAAAGGCGACGAGGAUGAUGAUGAGUUUUCUGAACUGGAGAGUCCGGUUGCUGCUGGUGGGGAUGAGGAUGAUCUGUUGAGUUCUGAUAAUGAAUCGGAGGGUGGUGAGGAACCGCACGAUGAGCUGGAGUUGUCUGAUGGCGAGACUGGUGAACCGGCUGAGAAGAAGAAAGCGUACCGGAAAAGGAUUGAGUCGGAACUGUGUAAUAAGAUUAUGGAUGCUCCGGGGAUGGCCAUUCAUACGGCUCUGGAUAAGUGGGUUGAAGAAGGGAAAGAAAUGAGCAGACAAGAGAUCUCUCAGGCCAUAUUUCUUCUUCGCAAGCGUAAUAUGUACGGGAGAGCUUUGCAGGUAAUUGAUCAAAAAAAAUUAUUUGCUUUUGAUUUAUUCAUUUUAAUAUUUGAAGUUUUGAUGCUGAGAAACUAACCCAUGUGCUAAUAAUUUUCAUUAGAUAUCUGAUGUUUGUUUGUUAUUGUACUUUGUGGUGAUAUAUUUCUCUGAAACUCUCCAUAGGAGCAAUGUCCUGCAUGUGAUGGAAAGGAGGGAGAUAGAAUAUGUUUAACUAUUAGGUCUUUGAAGAAUUGUAGUGUUCUGUUGAUAUAAAACACUAAUCAUGGUUAAGUGCAAGUUUUCAUCUAGUUCUAGGCGUGACCCCGGCCCAAAAUAUGGUAUUGACCUCCUAACACAAUAAUCUAACACUCCCCUCUAGAUAAACCUGACUAAGAUCUGUUACAAUUAAGCAAAUUGAAUAAAAAAACACAACAACCUACUCAUAAACAGGGCCAAACAAGGCAACUGGGGCAAAGAGUGCCAGUUGACCUCACUGGUGGUUAAAAACAGUUGAUGAUCUCAGCAUUAGAAAAUUCUGGCUUGAAGAUGGUUUAACUUUCCCUCAGUUGCCACAAGGUGUGGAGCAGGGUCAACAGAUGAGCAAUAAUUCCAUCUUAUUGAAGGGUUUGGUCAGCUGGUCGGAGGGUUGUGAGUUCAGUAGCGGGGACAUGGGGUAGGAUCAUUGAAAGGGGAUCAAUCAUGGACAGCGGUGAAUAGGAACAACUGUAAAAAACAUCACCAACGGUGGGGGAAAGCAGGAACAGCCACAAGAACAGGGCGUGCCAGAAUAAAAAACUGGAGGGGUGUUGGUGAGUCUGCUACUGGAACAAAGACACAGCAAGGAAAGGAGAAAGAAGGAGGCGAAGCGAUGAAUGCAUAUCCGGUGCCUGAAACAAUAAACACAGCCACCAGAAAGGAUUACAGAUUACUCCCUUUUCUCAUAGUGAUGGGAUUUAGGUACUUGGAUUUGGAUCAAACAUAAACAGUGCUAGUUCCGUAUGUUGCAUUUUGCUGAAUUUUAUUAUUUAUAUUCUGAUUGUGGCUGCAUAGGAGGGAGGAGCAUUCAUAUAUUGAAUGUUGGAAAUUGUGGGCAAUUGUGGUUUAUGUGGCCAAGAUAAUGGUUGUUAUAUUUACUUAUCUUUUUCCAAUUUUAUGAGAAGAUGUUUUGUUGUCCAAUUUUAUUUACAUUUUUAUUUUGGUUGCUUUUGUAGCUCUCAGAGUGGCUCGAGUCAAAAAAGCAGAUUGAAUUUAUUGAAAGGGAUUAUGCUUCUCGAGUUGAUUUAAUUGCCAAAAUUCAUGGCCUACAGAAGGCAGAGGCUUACGUUGAGACUAUUCCAGAGUCUCUUAGAGGGGAGGUAAUAUACCGAACUUUAUUGGCUAACUGUGUCCAAAAGAACAAUGUGAAGAAAGCAGAGGAAAUUUUUAAUAAAAUGAAGGAUUUGGAUUUUCCUCUUACGGCAUUUGCGUGCAAUCAGUUGCUUCUUCUAUAUAAGAAGAAUGACAAGAGGAAAAUAGCUGAUGUGUUAUUGUUGAUGGAAAAUGAGAAUGUCAAACCUUCUCCACUUACUUAUAACAUCUUAAUAGAUGUAAAAGGCCUGUCCAAAGAUAUUGCUGGAAUGGAUCAAAUUGUUGACAAAAUGAAGGAGGAAGGCCUUGAACUAGACGUAAAAACAAAGGCUGUUUUGGUUGGGCAUUACAUCUCAUUUGGGCUUGAAGAUAAAGCUGAAGCUUUAUUGAAGGAGAUGGAAGGUGAGAACUUGAAACAAAAUCGGUGGGUAUGCCGAACUUUGCUUCCCCUCUAUGCAAACCUGGGGAAGGCGGAUGAUGUGGGAAGGAUUUGGAAGGUCUGUGUGACAAACCCUUACGUUGAGGAGUGCUUGGCUGCAAUUGAAGCUUGGGGGAAGUUGAAUAAAAUCGACGAGGCAGAGGCAGCUUUUGAGAUGUUGUCAGGAAAGACGGAGCUUUCUUCCAAGAACUGCUCAGCAAUGCUGAGGGUUUAUGCAAAUCAUAAGAUGCUAAUGAAGGGUAAGGAUCUUGUUAAGCGAAUGGCGGAUAGUGGGUGCCGAAUAGGUCCAUUGACAUGGGAUGCAAUUGUGAAACUUUAUGUCGAGGCUGGGGAAGUGGAGAAGGCAGACUCUAUUCUUCAGAAGGCAACUCAGCAGAGCCAUGCCAACCAGGUGAAGCCACUAUUUUCUUCCUAUAUUGCUAUCUUGGAGCAGUAUUCUAAGAGGGGCGACAUCCAUAAUUCAGAAAAGAUUUUCUACAGAAUGAAACAAGCUGGUUAUACAUCGCGAAUAAGGCAGUACCAGGUUCUACUACAGGCCUAUAUAAAGGCCAAGCUUCCAGCCUAUGGAAUUAGAGACAGAUUGAAAGGUGAUAAUAUAUAUCCAAACAGAAAUUUGGCCACCUUGUUGGCUCAAGUUGAUGGAUUCAGGAAGACUCCUGUUUCUGAUUUGCUUGAUUGAGAGGUUGUUUCUACUGAUAACUAAGCUACUACUGUUGGUUAAAUAGUAGGUUAAGUAUAUUUCUUUUUGAAGUUUUCUAUGCUUGUUUGAAAAACUCUUGGAUUUAAGAACAAGUAUGCGCAUGUUACGGUGUAAUCUGUAUUUUUCUGUUACAUCUCUCGCCAUUUGGGUUGAAUUGCUAGCUUGUAAAAGAAAAUGUGGAAAUUACAUAUUUCCUUUUCCUCUGAUCAGAUGUCAGAACAUAUAAAAAACGAUAAAUAUGGCAAGUGAUUUCAAGACAACUAGAAGUGCUAUUUUUUGAAAUAUAACAAUUUAUGUUUCUUGUACAUUAUAAUUUGAUCUUGAAUUUAGCAUCAAAAUGAUAUAUCUAUGAAGAUGAAACAUUUGGAAUGGGGAAUGGAUCCAAGUUAACCUCACUUUGAUACUUUCCAUUAUGUCAAGGGUUAACAACUACAACCAAUUAGUUUGUUGCAAGUUAUUUGAACUUGUGUUUCAAUUAUAUAUUUACUCAUGCGACGUAGAUUAGCAAGGAUGCUCUUCCAUAUGCUAAAAGUUUGUUUAAAUUGUACAUCUUUAAGUUUGAGUGGUAAAAAUUUGAUCAUUCACUUAUGAUAUGAGAUGACAAAGUUGUUUAAAUUGUACAUCUUUAAGUUUGAGUUAUAAAAAUUUAAUACUUCACUCAUGAUAUGAGAUGACUGCAUAGAAUCAGAAAUGUGUUAGCAUUCAUAAUUAUAGUGACCAACUUACCAAUUUCCGUCCACCAACAAAACUAAAAUGUAAAUGUGUAUUAAAUAGAAGAGUAAAUCAUUUUUUGAUAUUUGGAGCUUUAGGAGUGGGAAAGAGUGAUUGGAUUCAAGGUCUCACAAGUGGAAUUCUUCAUCCACAUGCUUUAUUAUUCUCUCUUUCUCCUUCUCCUUCUCUUUUCUUGCUUUAUUUCUUACUUUCAACAUGAGUGUUUGAAUUAGAUGUAAUAUAGCUUCAAUCUAAUUGCAUUGAUGUAAUUAUGCAUUUGAUUGUUAAUUUCCUGUAUUUGUGAUUUAGUUUCUAUGCUCUUAAAGCUAAAUUGGGAUUGACCAACCUUAACUGAUCUUAAGAGUUCCUUGAAUGUAUGGAUAUGACUUGGUUAACUUGGAAUUAGAGAAUUUGACAUUAAUUAAGGGAUGAUUCUAGGGAUGACAGUCCUCAAUUGAUGUGAUCAUUUCGAAUUUCAGAUCUUAAUGCAUGAAUACAUCAAGUUUCACAUAAGGGAUCAGGAUUUCUUAAUGAGAAGAUGAGGACUUUUGCACUAGUGGAUUUAGUUUAUGUUAAAAUUAAGUGAAUUAGUUCAUCCAAAGGUACUCAAUGGUCACAUGGUGGUUUGUGGCCUCCCUGUACUCGUUACACCAUUAAUGUGUGAGGAAUAAAACCUUCCCUCCGUGGAUUUUGAUUGGUUUGAGCUCGUCUAGGGCCCUUUCUACCAUCCUGUGACGCGAAUGUGGGGAAUCAUUCAGAUAAUCUGGUUCUUCGUUUGACUAAUUUUCUUCAAUUUUGUGAAUCAAUACACAUAAACGGUGUAAGUGAGGACACAAAUCAGGCUAAACAUUCCCAUUUUUUGCAAGUGAUGACACUAUUUGGUCGGAUAUGCUAUUUAGUAGUCACUACAUUCUUGAAAAGUACUCUUAAGUCUUAACUGAUGACCAAUGGAAGUUCAUUGCUCUAAUUUUUUUAAUCAUCAUUUUAAUACAAGCACACUAAAUAUAAAUAUUACUUAAAAAAUUUACAAAUUUAUACAUCGCAUACCACUUAUUUGUUCUUCCACCACUCUAGUCAAGUUUAAGGGUUUAAGUGAAUAAUUAUUUGUGCAUCUUCACCCUCUAGUCAAUUUAGAGGCAGCGCUUGUGCGAAACAAUAUGAUUAUAUCUUGUUUAGUCAUGUGCUAGCUCUGUUCAGCUCACUUAUUGAAGUUGGUUCAUGACCAAAGGUCUAUCCUAAAUCCUAAUGCCAUGAAGGCUGAAAAAAAAUUAAAAUUAUAUCCACUUAGUUUACAGUUUAUUGUGCCUAUCUGCUUAAUUAAAAAAUAGGAUGAUCAAAAUUGUCGAAAUAAAAUUUGGGGGACCAAAAUUAAGAAAGCAUUAAAUUAAGGUAUAAAAAUGCAAUUAAGCCAAACAUAUUUUAGCAAAUAAGAAGAUUUGUAGGAGGAUAUUGUAAAAUUAUCCUGAAGGACAUCAUCAACAUCAAGAAGUACAAUCCCCUUCAAUCUCAAAUUAUUGAGGUAUUUGCGUAUAUCCAUAAGGAUUAUGUGUUAUAAAGUUAACCUGGACUUGUUUGAGUGCAACGUUCAAGUAGAAUCAUCACAUGUUGAAUCUUCUUCAUAACAAGACCAGAUACAGUUUGAAUGACCAGUGGAAAGUUGAAUCCUCAUCCUAAUAAAAGGACCCUAUACUGUUUGAAUGAUCCAAGAAAGUACUAUAUGAGUCACUCAAACAAAAAACAGAAAAACAUAACAAUAAUGAUCACAUACACUGGAGAGCAAGAUCCUAAACUAAGAACUUUUUCCGACAAUGAGGGAAGAUUCAUAGUUAGGAAUAGUUACGCGAUGUAGGGAAGCUUCAUUCGCAUGCUUUGAACGUUAUUCCGGUAUUUUCAUGUUGUUGUGACAGUUAUAUUGCCACAAUUUGGGUUACGUACAUAUGAAAGUUAUUAUGAAAACUUGUGACACAAAACUAUGAACAUAUAAACUCAUUAUAAUAAAGAAGCAAUAUCAGUUAACUUAUUUAAUAGAACUUAUAACAAGAGCAUGUUUGAGAAAACUUAUGUUGGCUGUAUUAAGUUUAUUCUUUAUUCACAAUAGCUUACGAAUGAAUAUAUAAGAGUUUAUGUUUUCUUAUAACAUAUUUUCAGUUUAUUUAAAUAAAAUUUUCAAAUAACUCAUGAAUAAACACUUGUCAUAAGCGCUUAAUUAAAUUGUUUAACUAAAUUCAGUCAGAUCAGAUUUAAAUUUGAAAGAAAAAAAAAUCAGUUACAUUCAUUUUUAAAAAUCACAUUUAGUCGGAAGAAAAUCAUGUUGAUACUUGACACACAUGUGUAGCUUUUGAAAUAACGUGCUUUGGAGUGCAUGUCACAUGCACAUCCAAAAUUACUUUUCCCUUAAAAUCGAUUCUAUCCCAUUAUUGAAAACCCAACUCCUGCCAAAAUACCUAAAUAUAAAUGGACAUAAGAAGGAAUCUCUGGUCAUCAAACUCUUCACUGCCAUACCAAUCAAUUUUGGUUGCUGUGACCAUACCAUACCAUACUCUUCUUUUGUUGAAUAGAAGUCAAAUAGGGCCUUAUGACACGCUAAAGGACUUUUCCAUCCUCUUUUGACAAAAAAAGGGACUUCCCAUCCUCUUUCUAGUGUUGCAUGCAAUGGAAAACUAUCUAUAGAAAACUUCAUAGGUAACCCAAGAACUCAAAAACAUCAUUAAACUAAUCAUUUCAUUUCUCUUCUACUAAGUUUAUUUCUGUCAUGGCAAUCCUUAAGAUAAGCAAAAAGCACCACAAGCUUUUCAACAACCCAUUCCCUUCUUCUGCUUCAACCAACAUUCCUUGUGUCCAAGGUUCUCUGUUCAUCAAUUCCAAAACGUUACACACAGAUCAAACCUUCUCAAUUGGCAAUGAUUUUCAGCUUCUUUGGUCCUCCAUCAAUGGUGGGCACCUCUCAAUUUCUCAUCUUUCUCAGGCAACCAGAUCCAUUUGGUCUACAAUCCCAGGGAAGGCUUUUAUUUCAGCUGCACUUGUUGACACAGAGGUGGAAGAAAGCAGGGGAUCCUUUCUGAUCAAAGACAGAGAUGUUCAUCUGAUCUGUAACCAUCAAACCAUUGAGGAUAUUAGGAUUAUCAAUCAAUUUGAUCAUGGUUUGGAACAUGAAGUUGUUGCAGAUUCUUCAUAUGGGAAUGCAGGAUCAGAUUCAGACCAGAACACUGAUGACGCAGAAGAAACCAAGCUUCCUGGUUUGUUGAUCACAGGAAAGCUUUUCAACAAGACUAAGAAGAACAGAAGGCUUCAAAAGCAUGGAAUUCAAACAAAUAUGCAGUUUGAAGCAAAAGGACCCUCUGCUUAUGCAAAGUAUUGGGUUUUGUUCAAUCAGAAAACCAAACAUCAGGUGGGGUUUCAGGUGAAGAUUGAGAAAGCUAACUACGUCGUCUCGCACAACCCGGUCUCUCCGGCAGCUUCAGGAAUAUACAAGGGCUUUAAGAAAAGGCUGAGUAAUAGAAAAAAGAGGCUGGGUUGGUGGUGGUACUUUUCAAGGCCAAGAGGGUUUGUCCUGGUUUCUUCUGUGGAGGAAGAAAUAGCAGACUUGGAUAUCCCAAAAUCUAAAGAAUUCAACAGAGUGUGGUUGACAUAUGCAAGUGAUGAGAAUGAGAGAUUUUAUGGUUUUGGGGAGCAGUUUUCUCACAUGAACUUUAAGGGCAAAAGGGUACCCAUUUUUGUUCAAGAACAAGGUAUUGGAAGAGGAGAUCAACCUAUCACUUUUGCUGCUAACUUGGUCAGUUACAGGUAAUGCAAUGCAAUAGCUUCAUAAACCAAAUUCAAUAUAGUAAAGUAGAAGGUGCACAUAUUUUGUUGACGAUGACAAUAAAAUGAUAACAUUUCAUUGUUAUUUACAGGGCAGGGGGUGAUUCAAGUACAACAUAUGCUCCUUCUCCAUUCUACAUGACAUCAAAAAUGAAAUCUGUCUACCUUGAAGGAUAUGAUUACACCAUUUUCGAUCUUACUAGACUUGACAGAGUACAGAUACAGGUAUUGUGACACAAAUUAUGAGAUACAAAUAGUUCAAGUUUUCUAUAUUAACUGGCUUGAUCUAUUUGAACUACUCAAGACUAGAUGGAGUAAUUAUUGCUAGGAAAUUUUGAACUAGUGUGAAAAUGAGGAGCAUUGCAUAGAGGAACAAUGAACUGUUAUAAAAAUACACAAAAACUUGUCUACUAUUUUGGUAAAUAUUUGUAAGAGUGGGGUCAAUUUUACAAUAAAGGCAGUACGGUGCAAUUAAGCUCCUACCAUGAUGGGGUCUAUGAAAGAAUUGAAUUCAUUAUGGGUCUUCUAUAAUAACAUUAUCUUACAUUUGCAAGAGGUCUUGAGCAUCUAGUCACACAGCAUCAACGUCAACCAUAGCACACCAAGGCUCUCCUUAUGUGGUCCAUCUCACAAUAGCUGAAAGAAUUUAUAUGUGAUGACAAAUGAAUUUAGUUGAUACAUUGAGGAAGUUGAGCUACAUAUAACUCUCCAUAAUGGAAUGAUGGAUGCAUCAAAGGUCUCAACAAAUUUGGAUAUACUUAAUUAUUAUAGUGUAUAAUGAAUACGGAAAAUCAUGACUCGUAUACUUGUAUAUAAAGUUAAAGUUGUGGUUUCCAAUUUUCUGUAUACUGGCACUUACAGAUACAUGGAAACUCAGUUGAAGGGAGGAUAUUGCAUGGGAACUCACCUUGUGAACUGAUUGAACAUUUCACUGAAACCAUCGGAAGGCUACCUGAGCUUCCAGAGUGGAUAGUAUCUGGUGCUAUAGUUGGAAUGCAGGGUGGCACGGAUGCGGUGCGUCAUAUUUGGGAUGAACUAAAGACUCAUGACGUUCCUGUCUCAGCAUUUUGGUUGCAGGUAAUCCCUCAGUCCUACACUUAAAGAAAGGGGGGGAGUAUUCUAAGGACAUAUACACUAUCCUGUUUCAAUAAAAAAUACUGUAAUUCACAGUACUAUUUGCUUCUAUAGAGCUUAGAGCUUAUUCAAUUUGAUUUGAACUAACCAUUUGCAAGAAUUAAAGUAAUGUAAUUUACGCACACAGAUUUCUAACAAGAACUUUGGAAGCCACUAGAAAUCAACUGGGUUUCACGUAACUGGAUUUGUCCACACACCCUCACAGACUCGCAAAUAUCAUGAUUCUUUGUUGUUUUGAAACUUCAUUAUUUACUGGAAACGUCACAGGAUUGGGUAGGGCAGAGAGAAACAAUGAUUGGUUCACAACUCUGGUGGAACUGGGAAGUGGAUGCACAAAGAUAUUGGGGGUGGAAUGAACUUAUCAAAGAACUUAGCACUCAGCAUAUUCAAGUUAUGACUUAUUGCAAUCCCUGUCUAGCUCCGGUAAUGCUUCUUUUACACUCCAAGUAUAAAUGUUAUUGUCAUUAACUUGUUUCUCUCGAAUCAAACAGCAUUUUUAUCAUUAGUUCAUAAUUAUUCUUUAGCAUUGCUCUCACAACUUCAUUCCUUUCUAGUCAAUUAAAAUCAUGGUAGUAGUGCCCCUGGUAAGACAUGCUUGCCUAGUUAUAUGAAUCUUCUUUUUCCUUUUCUCUGAUCCUAUAGGUUGAUGAGAAGCAAAACAAAAGGAGAAACCUGUUUGAGGAGGCAAAACAGUUGGACAUAUUGGUGAAAGACUGUACUGGGAAUCCAUACAUGGUUCCAAAUACGGCUUUUGACGUUGGAAUGCUAGAUUUAACGCACCCAAAGACUGGAACUUGGUUCAAGCAGAUUCUAGGAGAAAUGGCGGAUGAUGGAGUUAGAGGGUGGAUGGCUGAUUUUGGUGAAGGCCUUCCUGUUGACGCUAUUUUAUAUUCAGGUUCCGAUUCCCAUAUCUUUUUUUGUCCCAAAAACUUGUUCUCAUUGCAACAUUCUGACCUGCUCCAUGAGUUUUUUCUAAUGUCAGCUGAUAGAAAACCACAAAAAGAAAAGUGGGUUGAGUUAAAGUAUGAAAUUAGUUCAUCCAUUGACUGCAAAUCAUAUCAUAACUUUUAUCAUUUAGAUACUUUCUUUAUUUUUUACUUUAGCUCAAUGUGUAAAGUGCACUAAAUAGGCCAGUAAGUGCAUGUUAGGAUACACGGUGGAAUACCACGGUGAGGCCAGAAUCACGGUUGGCAGAAGCAACUUUCCUUGGCUUUUUAGCGACUGUCCACCAUGAUUUUAGUCUGGGUGUGGUUUUCCACCGUGUAUCCAAACAUGCACUAAAGUUGUUCUUCAUGAGGUCCUUAAUUACCAAAACUUCCUCCAAGGAUAAUUUUCUGAAUAUUUUCCCACCAUUCCACCUCUUAUCUUCAAGGAAAAAAGAGACCAAGCCAAGACUACAGCUUGUACAUCAUACAUGAGCUUGUGAUUGUUACUUAAGAUUUGGUACCUUCCAUUUCAGGUGAAGAUCCUAUUUCAGCUCAUAACAGAUACCCAGAACUAUGGGCCCAAAUUAACAGAGAACUUGUGGAAGAAUGGAAUAGUAAGAACAAGGUGAAGGAAGACCAAGAAGAGGGCUUGGUUUUCUUCAUGAGGGCUGGUUUUAGAGAUAGCCCCAAGUGGGCAAUGCUAUUCUGGGAAGGAGACCAAAUGGUAAGUUGGCAAACAAAUGAUGGAAUAAAGAGUUCUGUAGUUGGCCUACUCAGCAGUGGAAUUUCUGGCUAUUCCUUUAACCACAGUGACAUUGGAGGAUAUUGUACAGUAAACUUACCUCUAGUUAAAUACAGAAGAAGUCAAGAAUUACUUAUGCGAUGGAGUGAGCUAAAUUCUUUCACCACAGUCUUCCGCACCCAUGAAGUAAGUAAAAUACCUGCAAUAUGACAUAAGCCUUCAUCAAGCUGAUUUUUUCAAUUUUCUAUCUAUUAAUCGUUUUAUAAAUACUCAGCACAGAUGCAUGCAUAAUAGCAAUAUUUUGCAUUACUUGACUCUAAAAAGGGAGCUUCACCCUCAAAAGUAGUACUUAGCUGUGCAUCUUAACAUAACAUACCAACUUGUUGUUACAUGUUUAUUCUUCACAAAUAAAAAUGAAUUAAUCCACAAUAUACUCAAGAAAUACUGCAAUCUGAAUAUUAGGGGUCAUCUUAUGGAAAAAAGAAAAGUAACAUUUUAUUCAAUCAAUUUCACUGUUUAGAGCUCAAUAGCAAUGAGUUACUGAUGCUUUCCCUGCAAGCAGGGAAACAAGCCUUCAUGCAACAGCCAGUUUUACUCAAACCAAGAAACUCUGUCACACUUUGCGCGCUCUGCAAAAAUAUACACAGCAUGGAAAUUUUACCGAAUUCAACUUGUGAAGGUGAUCCCAAAUUCUAUCUUUACUCAGUAUUUUAACCAUAAAUUGUGCAAACUCAACAGGCAAUUAAAAAUCCCAUGUUCUUCUGUAAACAGGAAGCGGCGCAGAAAGGACUACCAGUAUGCCGCCACCUAUUUCUCCACUACCCUAACGAUGAACGCGUGCAUCACUUGAGUUAUGAGCAGUUCUUAGUUGGUUCUGAGUUCCUAGUGGUGCCUGUCCUUGACCAAGGAAAGAAGAAAGUAAAAGCUUAUUUUCCAAUGGGAGAGAGUAGCGGUUGGCUACAUAUCUGGACAGGAAAAGUAUUUUCCAAACAAGGAAGUGAAGCAUGGGUAGAAGCUCCAAUAGGAAACCCUGCUGUAUUUGUUAAGGUUGGCUCCCAUGUUGGAGAAACCUUUGUGAAUAACCUAAGAAGUUUAGGCAUUCUUUAAUGAAGCAUUCAUUAUAUUCAACAUAGCAUCUGAUCUAAGUAACUUAACAAUUCAUGCCCCGGAAUCACUUGUGCCAUGGCAAUCAAAGCUAAAAAAAUAUAGCUAGAAGGAUCCCAAUCAUAAAUAUCAAAUUCACUAAACUUCUUAACAAAGAAUGAUAACUUAACAGUUUAUUUGGACAGCUUGCACAUUCAAUUCCAGUAAAUAGCUCUACGACUGAUCGAAAUAAAGUAUCGCGAAAAUGUCCCAUAAGUGCAGCAAAUGAAAUAAAUUUUCAUUUCAUUCUGUUCAACUUUAUUAGCUCAAUAAUAAUAACACAACUCAAAAUGCAAACAUAAUUAACUGCACUAAGCAUUUCUUUAGUAGUAUGUUGAGAGGCUAAUUAUGUUGUUGUUUGAUUAAACAAGUUAUUAUGCAAUAAAACAUGAAAAACUAUGAUGAUCACUUUUCCUAUAUAGGAACCUGAAAAUGGUUGAGACAAUCAAAUUAUUCAAAUAUCAUAAAGAACAGUAUAAUUGAACUUGAGCCUCUAAUAAGUGAAUCAAUCAAAUCAAACUAAUCUUACGGGUUAGUCUUUAGAACACUCAGAAAUCAAUGCAUGGUUGUUGAGACUUGAGAGAGUGGGCAUUGAGACUGCACUUACAACAAGCCUUCAACUUUCACAAAUGGGUUGUCUUGUCUUCUACGAGCACCGUGUCGAAGUAAAACAAUCGCUGUAUUCAUGAGUUUAUGUUCGGACAAAUGUUCAUAUCUCUCUCUCUCUGUUAUGGCAUAUUCUCUAUCUUGCGUGCCACUCACCAGCAAUAUUCUUCUAGUUUGAUGCAAUUUUAUGGCAUAUUCUUUUCUGAUUCCUACUACCUUUUCACAAAGUGUUUGUUGGUGAGUCUCCAAUUUUUUUUAAAUGUUUGAUCAUUUUUUUCUCAUUUUUUCUAUCUAUACUUUCUAAGAAUCAAUUUGUAAUUCAUGCUACAGUACAUUGCGUUUAGAACGCCAUAAAAAAAAGUGUCUCAGUAGGAUAACUCAAGUAGUAGAAGUUGAGAGACAUAUGGAUUGAGUAAGGGAGGUCCAGGAAUCGAUUCCUGGCGGAUGCAAUUUAUCUUUCCGAUGUACCAAAAAAAUAAAGACCGUUAUAAAACACGUUUAUUCAUGUUUUUCACUUUGGGUUGAAAUGUGAUGUGGUGUUGUGUCCGAGAUUAAUCUAUAUUUAAAUUUUAUCGGUGCUUUUACUUUAGUCGCUUAGUGAUACAAAAGUGAAUGCGCUACUUUCUCUCACCACCGGUGAAGUUUGCUACUGAACUUGCCACCUAAAUAGUUAACAAGUAAAAUCAUUUAACUAAAUAUUUUUUUUAAAGGAAUGCAUGAGUCAUGAGAGAAUAUAUAAGCUUUAUUUUUUAAAUAUUACAAAAACAAUAAAAAUUACUAAAAGAGUUUACUUUAGAAAAUACUUACCAAUCAAAAACCCUAUAUAGCUGCAUGCAUUACAUUUUGUUUGUACCAUCAUAAUUUCUAUUUUUUUAUUAAAUUGCUUGCGCAAUAUCGAGACCGUAGGCAAGUGGACGACUAUGAGUGACAAAGCUCUCUAUCAAGUAUUUAACGCAGCUGCAUUUACAAUAACUUUGAACCCAAGACCUCUGUUUUAACUAGGACAUCCUUGUGUCAGUUGAUCUACACACUUGCUUGUACCAUUAUAAUUUCUUUUUGAGAAAAAUAUUGCCUACAUUUGAGAAAUUUCCGAAUUUUCUGAGAACAACUCAACGUAAAUCAUUCAAAUGAAGUUUAAUUUUUUUGAACAAAAAAAAAUGAAGUUUAAUUAUUUCUUACCACUUUUUUCACAAUUAUACCGCCAUAUUUCUUGACAUUUCUUCGUAUACAUUCUAUUAGCAAAUGUCCUCAUUUUUUGUCAUUAAAAUAUCAAAUUUUCGUUUUUUAUUUAAUAUUGAUUUUCAAUUACUUUGCCACUUUGCAUUUACUUGAAGAGAUGUGUUUGCGAAACCUCAAUUGUUUUUUUUGUUACAUCGGAAAAGAAAACCUCAAUUGUUAAUAAACUUAAACUUAAACUUUUUUUAAAAUUAACUUAAACUUAAAUGUCCUAUCAAAUUUUACUAUCUCACAAUUAAUUUUUGCUUAUUUAGAAUUAAAGAAAUAAAAGAGAGUUAAACCAAUGGGUCAGAGUCCUCGUAGGAUAGCUCAAGUGGUAGGAGCCGGGGACAUAUGGCUUGGGUAGAGGGAGAGUUAAACCUGACGGGUGCAAUUUAUCUUUCCGAUGUACCAAAAAAAGAACCAAUGGGUCAGAUGGUUAAAAUUAAUGUGAUCAAGAAUUUUUACAAUUAAGAAGAUUUUGAUGCCAAAUUUAUAAUAGUUAAUUGCUCAUCAUAUUGUAGAGUUCAAUUUUAAACAUCACAGCUAAUUUUAUAAUAAUGAAAAAGACAAAUUUGUCCCUACCGAAGUAAGUUGGAUUGAAUACACUACAAUUUAAACCUUUACAUUGCAAGAUCAAUAACUGAGUUCAGGUGGUGGUAACUUUUGAAAGGUAACAUCUGAAUAUGAUUACACAAACAGAUGCAAAAAUGUAUGAUCAGAAAUAGGUGAGGCAGAAAAAUAUACACUUUUCAGAUUUGAAGAAAUCAAAUUAGACCUCCAACAAGCCUCUCAAAUUUCCCAGCAACAACAAAAUGGUCGCUCCACUGUGCCCUGUGUACAUUGUUUUAAACUCACCACAUGACUCCAAUGAAAAGUCAGGAACCUUGCUUCCAUUGAGACGUCUCCGUAUUCAACAAAGAAAAUUCCUUCUUGACUAUGAUGAAGUGUAUGGUAAAUUAACAAGGAAGACAUUCAAUUUCUACACAGCUAGCAGCACCAUCAAAUAUCUAACUGAUCCAUAUUAAUCAUGUUUGCAGCAUUUCGUAUCAGCUCCUUUCGACCAUCCACCUAAAACAAAUUACAAUCAAAAUUCGGAUUAUGGCCACAUUACCACAAUGAUUAAGUGCGUGUUUGUUUAGCCUUUCAAACAACAUUCACACACUUCAAUCCAAAAACACACAUUACAAAGCUCAGAACGUGAAAGAAGGUAUUGUACUCCGCUGGGUGAAUGUUAUUGUUAGUUGACGUUGGCAAUGCAAACAGAGCCUAAUUAGCUGACUGGAGAUCACCUGUUAUCUAUUGUGCCUAGGAAUCUACACGGUUAACCGAGGAAACAUUCUAGUAAUUUUAAGCUCACAGCACAACUCAAUAUGAACAAAUUUUCAGUACGCCUGUAUGAUUGAAGACUCAGUACAAGUUCUAGGACGACAAUUAGUCUCUUUUUUCACAUCAAAAUCUUUUUUAAAAAAUGGUCUAGUUGACCAAACAUGUCAGGUAUCUUAAGUGUGUGUAUUGAAAAAGAAAUCCAGUGUGACAUGCAUCAUAAUGGAGGAAGAACAAAGGGAACAUAACAAACUAAUCGUUACAACUUCUGUAUAGGUACAUAAACCACCGUAGUUUCCACCAGCAAGAUUGUGAGAGAAAGAUGGAAAAAUACCUAUAUGUUUAAUGUUUGUCUCAAGUCUCAACAUAAGAAAAAAAUGCAUAUCACAAAUUGGGGGAUCACAAAAUGAACUUCAACCUUUAAGCAUAUUUGGAAGUUAAAAAAUAGUAUCAUUUGAAAUCUAAAAUGCCAUUUUUGAACGGUUAACAAAAAUAUAUUUUGAAAGAAAACUUAGAUUAAUGGAAAAUUCAAACAGAAUAUUAAGAAAACAAAGAAACAAGUGCAAAACAAGAAUUUACUGGCUAGUAUAAUAUAUCAACUAGUUCAGAAAAGGACCAGUUUAUCUAUCAUGGUCCUUAAGUUCAUUAUAUAGAGCAUAAUGUCAUGAUUCAACUUUUUAGUAGGAUACUGGGUGGCAACAAAGAUACUGUUAGAUAUAAUAAUAUAAAAUCAUUCAUGUGGCCCAUACCCAAUAGCUAAAGUUUUUGGGAUAAUUGGUUAUUUGACAUGGUAUCAGAUCCUCUAUAAUCAAGUGGUCUAGAGUUCGAUGCUUGCCGCCCCAAAUUCUUCUAAUAAAAAGUUUAAUUUCAGCACAUGGUAAGUGGGCUUGUGCAUUGUCUACGCUUCAAGCCCAAACAGGCUAUUGCGUGAGGGGCGUGCUAGAAAUAAUAAUAUAAAACCAUUCAAGUGGCCCUCACCCAAUAGCUUAAGCAUUCAGGAUAAUUGGUUAUUUGAUAGAUACAACUCAUACCAUUUGGUCAUAAGAGCUCUGAUACCAUGUCAUAAACCAGCUAUCCGAAAAGCUCAAACUAUUAGGUGAAGACACAUGAUGGUAUUAUAUUAUAUUAUAUUUCUCAAACAUAAUGACAUAAUAGUAUAAUACCAUGAACUUUUAUCACACUUCUCCAACCAUAUUGACCUUUCAAUUGUAUGUGGUGAAGGGAUUUGACCUUUUUGGAGUAAUUUUAAUUAGUUAAUGCAUAAAUAGAUUAAAUUACUAAAUGCAUGGAUGAUUUCCCCCCUUUUAGGUAGAGCAUGUAACUGAAAAUUUGAAAUCACAAGUUACUUGUCAAAUAUGGUCCCUAAAAAUUUCUUUAUGAUCAAUGUAUUUGUGCUUAAACAUAUGGAAACUACAAAAUUCAAGUAAAAAUACACAUCAAAUAGAAAUAGUGCACAUACCCGAGCACCCAUAAGAGACGAGAAAACAAUAUUUGCUUCAGCUGCAUCUUCAACCUUUAACUGCUUCAACAACCUGCUUUCUGGAUUCAUGGUUGUUUCCCAUAGUUGCAAAGGCAUCAUCUCUCCCAACCCUACAUUUGUAAAACAAACACGAGCACAAUAUUAUGGAUAGAAUCAUGAAAACAUUGUAAAAUAACUAGCUCCCAGAGAAAGACAAUAAUUCAGAACUAGGGAAACAUAGGAGUCUCUUCUAGAAUAAAUGGGCGGUAGAUGUGCAUUAAGAAAAAACUUCAGAGACAAAAAUCUUUCUUUCUUUUUUAAACAAACAUAUUGUUCACUACAGGCAUCUGGUAAACACCCCACUGAUGGUAGAGUUAAUUAAAAGCCUAGCUUUCAGACAAGAGGUCACUUUUAAUUCACUAGCAUAGCAUUUUGAGAAUAUGAAAUGGAUUGAAACCACUAUUCCGCUCAUUAUAUUUGGUAAGAUUUAGAAUGGAAUGAAUUUUUCUCUACAUUCCUCAUAUUAAAUAUGAUGCAAGUAAAGCCAGAAUGUAUAGGAAAGAACUCUUUGACAUUAAAAAUGGCUAAUUUCCUCUAAGAUUUAUGCAGAAGUUUCACAGAAAUCAGGAAUCAAGAGUUAAGGUUUGCACUACCCCUUAUAAAGGCUAUCUAUGCUCUAUCUCUAGCCAAUGUGGGACUUCUAACACACCCCCUCACGUCCAGGACUGAACAACCUGGAACGUGGGAUCAACAACAACGGGUGCCCCAAAUAUGGGAAGUCUCCACAACAAACAACAAAUGGAUCUAGGAUAGGCUCUGAUACCAUGUUAGAGAAAACAGAAAGAGAGAAAAAGAAAUGCAUCUGAAACUAUUAUUAUGAAAUCGGUAAUCUGAUACAGAAGAGAUGAAUCCUUAUAUAGGAUUGUAGAAGCAUGUUUAGCAAGCUAAGCUAACAACCUAACUGCUAUAACCACUUCCUAACUGAAUUGACAGCUGGCAUAACAGAAUUGACAGCUAGCAUAACAGAAUAACAGAAAAGAUAAGUGUGUCCAGCUAGCAUUCCAGCUGGCACAAACACAAGUACAUAUAGGCGAUAUUUUCAUAUCCCUAACCUUCCUAUUCACUCUAAUAGGGUGCAUGCACAAUUAUUUUGGAACCUAUUUCUUACUUCGAACACCCAUAAUUGUGAAUCCAUUUCCUCUUUCAAAGUCAAACAUGUUUCUCCACUUUGUAACUCAAAUAAAUAAUUUCAUGCUUUAUUUUUAAUUUAUUCUAUCAAAAUUGAUAUACAAGCCUACAAUUAAUUCUAAUACGAGAAGAAUGUAACUAACACAACUUUUAAUCAUACCUUUAAACCUUUGCAAGUUGUAUGAAGCAUUAGGAGGGAAUGUCUUCUGAAUAUUUUUAAGAUCAGCGUCAUCAUAGCAAUAUUGCACUUGUUUUCCCCUAGCGACCUGGUUAUUUCAGCAAAGAUAGCAGGAAGUUAGCUUGAUUAUAUAUUUAUAUCUGAUAAACCUUCCAUGUAGCAAAAACUUAAGGCAGACCUUGUAUAGUGGCGGAACACCAACAUAUAUGCAACCUGCAUCAAACAAAGCUCUCUGCAAGAAAACCACAUCAGUUUGAUCAUUUUUAUAUAUUAUUCCCAGUGUAUUUUUGCAUGACUUUCCGGUAUACUUAACCUGCUAUCUAAAGAAAAAUGUCAAUAGCAGAGUUCGGAUGUGGGCACCAUCUACAUCAGCAUCAGUCAAAAUAAUAAUCUUGUGAUAUCGGAGUGCAUCCAUUUUAAAAUCCUCUCCCUGAACCAUAAAAAACGCAUUUUUAAUUAAAUUGCUACAUAAUAGUUGAUGAAGUUAAGAGCAUAGAAUUCUGGCAUGAGUGAACAAAGAUUUAUACUUUUGAUAUAUUUUUUUUAAAUCAAUAUUUACACUGGCUUGGGGAAUACUAGUCAUAACUUUGUUACAUUGCUAUCUAGAAGUCGCUUUUUGAAUUUCAUUUUUCAAUUCAUUACAGGUCUGCAAUGCUAGUAAUAACUUAGUCACAUUGCUAUCUAUAGGUGGUUCCCAUUGUAAAACCAACAUUAACACCCAAUGCAUUUGUAGGCUUUCUUGAUUACCAUUUUCUCAUUCUGCCUAUCUCUACUUUUCUACUUUUGUCUCCAAAUUCUCUUUAAAAUUCAUAUCAGUUGUCAUCUACUUGGUUUUAUGUAGUCUUUCAUUUGGGAGUCACAACAAGUUAAAGGCUGUCUUUACUAUUUAAAAUCAGAAAUUUUUUAUUUUAAGCAGGUUGCUUGAAAGUUACUCUUACCAUUGAACUCUUCCAUAUGAUUAGGAAUUAGUUUCUUCAGAUAAAAAAAAGCUUGAUACAACUUGCACUUUAGCUAUAAAAGAGCCUUCCUGUAAGUAAUAGUUAAAGCUUGAUAAUGGACUGUUUUUUAGUUUUUACAGAUCUUUCAUUCAUCAAUCUUUUCAUUUCUCUGCUUUAACACCAUUAAUGGCAAACAAAUGAAACAGAAACAGUUCUAACCUUCACUCCAAGACCAAGACCAAGAAUUAAAUUUUGUAUCUCUUGAUUUUUGUACAUUGCUGCUUCAUCCUUCCUUUCAGUAUUCAGAAUCUUACCCCUCAAAGGGAGAAUGGCCUGCAAGAAAUAUGGUCUGAUUACAUAAACUUAAACAAACCCAAAUAUUUGUGCAUUUUUCUCUUUUUGUUCAGGUAAUGAACUUCCAAUCUAGUAAAGUGCUCCACACAUCAGUAAACAGAAAAUAUAAAUGAUUAGAUACAAUAAGUAGAAAAACAAGCACUAAUACACACAAACAUAAAAUGAUUUAGUAAAGACUUCCAUGAGUUCCCUCUAGAGAUUUGAUUUUCAAGAUCUAAUCAAGUGGCAAUUUUUAAAACACAAGUCCAAUUUUACAUAUCUUGGCUUCUAAAUAAAACACUAAUGCAUAUAUUAGUCAACAAGUUUAAUCAAUAUUAGAAAUAUAGUACAAAACCGUUCUCGUGUAGCUGUUGGGUGAAGACACCUAAAGGGUUUCAUAUUAGAUUUGAAUGGUCUUCAAUUAAAAGAUUAAGCAUUUAGAUGGUCAUGACAAUUAAGAAAGAAUAAAAACUUUCUGUUACAGAUAUAAUAUUUAAUAAAACCAGUUUAAUCUUUCACCAAAGUGCUUAAGCUUCUAGGAGAGUUAGCCCUUGAUAUGAUAUCAAAGGCUUCUAGACAAGUGAUCAGGGGUUCAAUCAUUGCUGCCUCCAUUCUAAUAAAAAAGAAGAAUUUUAGCACAAGGUAUAGCGAGGUUGAGUGUUGUUCACAAUUACACAUUAAGGCUAAAGGGCUGUUGCUUGUUAGGGGUAUAGUAUAAAAACCAUUCAUGCGACUUUAUCUAACACCUUAAGAUUAAGAAAUAGUUUAUUCAAAACUUGAUAUUAGAACCUCUAUAGCCAAGUGUCUAGAGUUUGAUUACGGUCUAAUUUCUCCAAAGUAAAGGUGGGAUUUCAGCAAAUGGUGGGUGGGCCAAGAUACUAAGCACACUUCAAGCCUAAAUGGUUUUUGUAUGAGGAGACAUGUUGAAGAUAUAAUAUAACAGUCAUUCAUUUGCUUUUCCUAAUAGCUUAAGCUUUUGGAAAAGGUGGUUCAUGUAAUGAUAUUAUAUGAGAAUGUGUGUUUAAUGAAACACAUACUGUGGCGAAACUUAAGAGCUCAAUAUUUAAGAGAGCCAGUCCUCAAUAGUUCCAAACUUUCGGUAGUUUGUCAUAAAAACAAGACUAAAAGUAUAUAUUUCCACGUCAGGUAGCUAUACUUUUGUGGGUUUCAUACAAAAUGUAUACUUUACCUGGAAGCGCCUAUCACGCCCUUGCUUUGCACUUCCUCCAGCUGAAUCGCCUUCAACUAUAAAAAUUUCUGCCAUAUGGGGAUAAAGAACAAAGAACUUUCCACUCAAAAAACAAUGGAACGGUAUUAAAAGAUUAAGCCAAAAGGAUCUCAGUUAAUUUUAUCCACUGCGCUAGAAUACAUGUCAGCUCUACAUAUGUAAUGUAAAUAUAUUGAGCAUGUUUUAUAAAUGUAGACAGAUGGAUUAUAUCCCGAUAACUAGGGGGCGAGAGAGCCAAAGGAAAACUAAAGGUCAAAUCAUUAAGAAAGAUUUGGAUUUAAAUGGUCCGUAAUUAGACAUGAUUCAUGAUAGAACAUGAUGCGUCAUUUGAUCUGUUAGUAGACCCCAACUAGUGGAAGAAGGCUUUGGUUGUUGGUCUAAUUAAACGAAUGUUAUGUUCUGUCAUAUUAAUAUCUGGCUUUUUAUUCAGUUAAGUUGAUUAUGAAAGGAUGAGCAAUAAUCACUAAACUGCUUAAGAGAUACAAGAGCAGAAAAAUAUAUACCAAAGAGAUGACAUAUGGAUUGUACUUUCAAAUUAGUAUGAAACAUAGAAAUUAUGGCAAUUUUACAAAAAAUUAAAUAAAAAUAAUGACACAUUCUAAAAGUAAUUGAUACGAAAAAUUCUUAUCAUUGGACUAGAUCAGACAAUAUCGCACAACUAUGGUUCAAAUGAAUGUCUUAAUAUGAAGCAAGAACCAAAAUUACUCCCAUAAAAUAGAAGCAAGUUUACCACAUUCUUCAGGAUUUGAGGAUGAACAAUCAGCGAGUUUUCCCGGAAGAGAUGAAGAUUUCAAUACACUUUUUUGUCUCACCAAUUCCCUUGCUCUUUUUGCUGCCAGAGCUGCCUACUAAGGCACAAAGAAUUCACAAGACGAAAGUUUUCUGGUUCAACUAUCUAAUACAAUCAUACUGACAAUGAAGAAAAGCCUAAGGUCCUGUUUGGUUUUUUUUUUCUCAGAUUGAAUUUAAAAACUGUCACCUUGUUUUCAUUUUAUUUUUUGUCUUCAAAAUUUUGUAUAGCUAACGGUGAAAGCAAUAAAAGAUGUUUUCACUGAUUGAAUUGAAACAAAUUGAAAACAGUGUAGCAGUUUUAUAAUUAAAACUGAAAAUAGAAAAUGGAAACCGAAAAAGAAAAGAGAAACCAAACUGGUCUGGCCCUAAAAUUUCUAUCUGGAGCAAUGGGGUCUAAAAACCCUACGAUUAAAUUUGAAAAAUAAAUUACUACCUUGAAAGCAUUAAGGGCUUUAGAUAGCACUAACUCAAGAACGUCUGGAUGCAAUUCCAAAUACUCAGUAAGAUACUCUUGAAUAGAUUGAUCAACCACUUUUCGCACCUCUGGAUUGCCCAACCUUGUCUUGAAGCAAGAAAGAGAGCAGUAAAAAGUAAUUUAAAAGAAUGCCAUAAAAUGUAAGGAAAGUAUAAUGGACUCUGAAAAAAUUAAUAUUUUAGUUAGGUAACCUAUGAUGCAAUAAUAUAAGCCGUCCAAUAAGAUAUACAGUAGGCAGUACCUUUGUUUGCCCUUCAAACUCUGGAUUUGGAACCUUGACUGAGACAACACAAGUUAAACCCUCUCUGACAUGCUCGCCACUUAAAGUGAUAUCCUUUUCCUGCAAAGAACAGAUGAUGAUAUGUAAUAAUGGAACUUUGAAUAGACUUUUAAUCAUAAAAUAGUCCAUUUCAGAUAAAGGAGCUUUUGUUAUCUUUCAAUUACCAUAUUUAACAAGCCAUGUGUAAAUGUUGUUAAUGGCGGAGAGCCAAAAACCCACCAUAUUUGACAAAUAAUGAUGGCGGAUUAUGGCGGACUAUCGCGGGAUAUCGGCCAUGGUGAAGAGCCAAAACCCUCUAUGAGAUUCCGCCAUGGUGCCAUAACCCUACUACAAGUUCGGGUUGUGUUAAGGAUACAGUACAGUAUUAAGGAAAGUAGUUUGGUGUUUUAUGUAGUAGUUACUGUGAUGCACACAAGUUGAGGGGUAAAAUGGUCAUUAUAUAAUUGAAGUAUAACUAUAACUGUAAAUAGAGUCACAGAGAAUAUCAAAGUAAAACAUUCUAAACUGAGAGUCUUCUACUUUAUGAGUGCACAGGCACGAUAACAGUGCAAAAAAAGGAAAAAGAAACAACAGUUGAUGAAUACCUUGAUGACUUUGGAUUUCUUUCCAAGACUAUUCAGUGUUCUUGUUAAAGAAGCCUUCAUACCAUCUAUAUGUGUGCCACCGUCAACAGUGCGUAUACUGUUAGCAUAUCCUAGUAUUGUAUCUGAAUAUGCAUCUUCACACCUAGUAAAGAAGAAACUAUAUGAAUCGCCCAUACUGACAAAAGGAAUUACGAAUAGUUCUCAAUCGUAUUACAGAAAAUUAUACAAUCCAAUAGUCAGAAUGGACUUAUGAACUUUUAACCUUUAACUUCACAAAUAAAUCCUUCUUUUCAUUAAGAGUCAAGCGCCAAAUAGAGAUAAUCAAAUCCAAACACACUUGAUGAUAAUAAUCCAGCUAACAGAGAUGUAAGUGCAAGACUGAGGAAGAAGGGAGGGCUUACCAUUGCAAAGCUAUAUCAACUGUGAUUCCAUCUAUUUCUUUUCUGAAACUCAGGACAUCAUGCAAAGCUUUCUGCAACAGGUCAUUAGUCCAUAUUAUCUUUACAAGUUAAUGAAAACAUCAAAGCCAAAUAUGGCAUGCUAUGUAGUUUUUAAAUUACGAGGAACAAAUUAAAAUAAUGAACCAUUUUUAAUACACUGACAAAAUCAUGUUGCCGCUAGUCCUAAUGUUGUGAAAAACUAGAUUCUACGUAGAAUCGGAGAGGGGGUUCAAAAUCGUAUAAUCGUAAAUUGAAUCGUAAGAUUCUACCAUAAAUAGAAAAACAAAAAAAUAGCAUUGAUAUCUUGUAAGUCACAUCAUUUAACAAAAAUUGGAAUAAAAAUUCAUCAGAUUAACAUCCAUACAAGUCAUAAUCUCAAUCCAAAAUCAUAAGAGUACUAGAACAUGAAAUUAAAAGAUGAAACAGAGACGUUGAAGAAUGAAGGAAAACAAAGAUGUUGAAGAAUGAAGAGAAAACAUAAGAGGAAGAGACCUAGAUAGAGACUACAGAAAACAGAGCAUGAAUGCGUGAUUCAAUUCACUCUACUAUGAGUGAAUUAAAUAGGCAAUUAGAGGCAUGAAGGUUGGGUCACAUAGGUUGAUUUUUCGAAAUAUACAAUCAGUUAUUAAUUCUUGUCAAUUAACCAUUCAAAUUUGGCAACUACAAUCAAUUAGAGCUUCAAUUUCGAAAUCCCCUAAAUGCUGGGUGGUGGGUUGUUUUUUCCACAAAGUCAAAAAACUCUCUAGUUUCCCCAAUUUUAGGAAUCAGCUUCAAAAAUUAAAAAAAUACUAGAAUCGUAAGAUUCAAUAGGAUUUUACGAUUUUACGAUUAAAAUCUAAGAUUCUACGGGAUUCCACCAAAAAAAGAUUUUGCAUGCGUUUUGAAUCGGAACAGUGCUGCAAAAUCGUAAAAUCUUAGGAUUUUGCGAUUUUGCUAUAGAUUUUGCUAACAUUACUCCUUAAUAUACAGCCAAUAGAUUACACCAUUUACAUUCAAUGGAAACCCAUCCAAUUGCAUAAAAAGAAACUUGAAAUUAAAUAAGACAUCAACCAGAGGUAUCAUUGCCGUUAGAGCAUAUAUAUUAUAUAGGUGUAAUGGCAACCACACAACACAACCAACAGUAAAAUGCAAACAUGCAUGCAGGCACUGGAUCACCCUGCACAGAUCAUUAAAUUGAUACACUGCAGAGAUCGAAUAUGAUCCCAAUUGUUUGGAUCUGAGAAUCAUAUUUUGAGAUUUCAGAGAGAGAUGAGAUAACAGAGAAAGGAAAAGAUAAAGAAUACGUUAACAUUUACUAAAAUGACAUAAAUUUAAGGAGAGAAUUUUCCUUCUAGGUUUCUCCUUCACAAAGGGUUUCUCCUUUCUGAAAGGAGCCAAUGCUCAGUUCACAAAUGUUAACAAACCUGAAUGCUUCUAUUCUAGCCUCUCUACUACUUAAGCUAUUCCCUACCAGGCUUGUUAAUAGCGCGUGAUAAUAUUCACCGCUAUUGUCCGAUAUAGCGCUCGAAAUAGCGUUUUUUGGGCUUGCCGCUACCACUACGCUACGCUAUCCGCCAUUAACAACCUUGUUCCCUACACAUAACAACUUUAACCACCCAACCAUUUCAUUUCUAUAACAAUUCUAACUAACUACUAUCUGGCCCUAUCACCAGAGAUUGAAGGGGUGUGUAUGUGUUCAAUAUUGCUUCACCAGUUAUAUUAGAGUAACACGCACAUGUAUAUUAUGGUCUCAUUAUGUAAUGGUCAGUUAGCUGAUAGAACUGAUUUCAGAUAAUAGUCAAAGCUCUCAGAAGACUUCUGUAGGCUGUAAGGCUUAACCAUCAGAUAAAUGUAGCAACAGUGCAACACUCUCGGUUGAACUUGUUAAUCUUAAGCGCCAAGUGAGUAUUCGAACUAGUGAGCAUAGAGUUGUGAAGUAAACACCAUAUCCUCUGUGAUGGAUAUUUUAUAGAAAAAUACAAACAUAGAUCAUAAUAUGUACAACUAUAACAGAAAUUUACAUUUUAAUUGACGAGUAAAAUGAGGAUAGAUAAGACAUCCUCCCUAAGCAAACUAACACCAAUGAAAAAAAAAUGAAAAUGGAAGACAUUGACCAUGAAAUACCAGAAUAAAGGUAAAAAGUAGAAGAGGACCUUAUCAGUGUUGAGCAAAUUCACAUAUUCUACCAAUCCCCCAGCAUAGAAAAACUCAUUAUAUUGGACCUUUUCUGGAUCACUGUCAUCUUUACGAAGCGUGAUAGUAAGCUGCAAAGUUCAAGAAAAGGCAACGGUAAGAUGCAAAGCAGAUAGAAAAAAUGCACUUCUAGAAGUCUUUAUCUAUAGGUGGCUAGACGACCAGUAAUGGACACAAUACAUUAGACAGCUCAGCCUCACUUGUAUAAGUCUUUACAUCAGAUUCCUUUUCUCUCUCCUCUAACCAACUCAGUUGCAUCACAUCCUUCUAACUAAUUCCCACAUUCUGCAUACUAUUCUUAGUUGCCUUAGCUCUGCAGAGGAAAACACUUGUAGGACCUUAGUUUUGGGCUAAGCUAACUGUGGUUCCUCAAUCAUUAAUACCACCCCUGUUAAAGGUGCCUUGUCCAUAAGACAAAUAUUAGGAAAUCGGCCUAUGAUAUGGCUUUACUCUUCCCAAGUACCUCAACUGGUUUGGACUUCCAAAGAAUUAACUACUCAGUCACCACUGUGGUCUGUUGAGAUAUAUGUUAUACAUUUUAGUUUGUUGGAAAAAUUCUCUUAGGAUAUAGUUUAUUGAGUUUGGUUUUAAGGUGUUAUUAUUCCUAGUUAUCUUAUUGUCGUAGUUUAGUAGUUUGUUUCUCUAUUUAGUUUAACUAGGACUAGGAAACCUUAUAUAUUAAUAUUGUUCUUCUGAAUCAUAUCAAUUAUCAAUCAGUUAUUCAGAAUAUUUCCAGUUUCAAGAUGGUAACAGAGUCCAUCCUAGAUCCAUUUUUGGGCCACCUGCUGAAGUUUAACAUUCCUGGUAGAUAUCCCAUGAUGGGCAUGAGGGCAUUUCUAUAAAAUAUCAAAUUUGUUACCUCCACGCUCCAUAUGUACAGGCCUGGGUGUGGGGGGAUGUUAAGGUCUUCCAUCGACUAGAGAUGUGGCCAAAGAAAUCCUUAUAAAUGGUACGUCAAUGCUUCACCUCUAAGCUAGCUUUUGGGGUAGGGUAGACUGGUAUAGUAGAGUUGGGCCUAUAAUUCCCAAAAAGAAUGCCAUGCAACAACUCCUCCAAAAUCUUUAGUUAUGUGAAGGCUCAAUUAUUCGUGAAUGGUUGGUUUUAUAUCUAACAUUAAAGAAAUGUCCCUUCUAGUUAAGAAAGGAAAUUCCAUCACUAAUCUACACAUUCAUGAAAUAACGAAACCCCACUAAAACAUUAUGACAAAUUAUCCACAUUAAAGACCAUUUCUGAUGAGAAAAGUGAAAUUCUAUAUGAGACAUUACAAAUAGACAGUUUAUAUCAACAACUUCACCUUUGGGUUGAGGAAAGCCAACUCCCUAACGCGCCCAGCUAUUGUGUUGUAAUCAAUCUGAAUAGUGGUGGUGAAUACUGCAUGUCAAGUAGAGAUAAAAAUGUAAGCAUAUUUAAAGACUGAAACUCACAAUAACAAGCAAACCAUAGCCCAAAAAUAAAUGAACAAGAUUAUAUGGACCUUCUUUGUCAGGCCAAAAUCUGAUUGAUGUCCCUUGAAGAUCUCUCUUUUCAGCAGGAUUGGUUUACCACGAGAAUACGUCUGCAUGUAUUCCAUUCCAUCACGCCAAACUGUUACCUCCAGUGCCUGUUAAGUUAGAUAGCAAAUAGGAUCUUUAGAUAAUACUGAUCACUAACCAGAAUAAGCAACCUCCGGCUAAAAAGAAAAUCUGAAAGAUCUUUAAACAACAUUGAUAACUAACCAGAACAAGCAACCUCUGAAAGAAAACAAAAUAUGACAGCGAUUGUAUUAUGAGGAGGGUUAGCAACACAUUCUUGAAUACUCUCUCUUACACACUCCCUGUGAUUGACCUAUUUUCAAAAUAAUCAAUAUAUUUUUCUCACUUAUUAAAAAAUGUUGACUUUUAAAAAAAAAAAAAACCAAUCACAUGAAUUAUGUUUAAGAGUGUGUUUGAAAAAAUGUUGCUAGAAUUUCUAUUGUACUAUUUGUUAUCAUCUAAAUAAACGUUCGAUAAGAAUGUGCCAAGAUGUGUCAAUAUCAGCUAUAACGUCAAUCCUCAACUCAAAUUCUUUAUCCCAAGCUUUUCGGGUGUGCAUUGUAAAGUUCAACUGGGGGGAAAAGAUAACUUUUAAAGAAGACAAACCUCAGACAAAGCAUUAACAACUGAUAAACCAACACCAUGUAAACCUCCUGAAACAGAGUAGCCACUUUUGGCACCACCGAAUUUUCCACCAGCAUGCAAGACCUGCAAAGUUAAUCAGAGUGAAUAAUCUUUAUCUCAAUAAAAAAUCAGGCAAAAAGAUUAAACGCAAAAACAUAUUCCAAAGGCCAGGAAAUUUUUGUUAUGACAUAUGACCCACAAAAAAUGAACGUUUUAUCUAAACAAAAUGAUAAGGUCCAUCCACAGUACAGAUUUACAUAUAAAUUAGUUUAUUCAGUUCUUUGAAUUUCAGUCUCUGAGCAUUGUCAAUACAACUUGAAGAAUAAUACAAAGAGGAGAAUAUCAAUCACAUACAUGCAGAAGAUCAAAUAAUUUUAUCAUCAAAUUAGCAUAGACAAGCUAAUGCAUGGCAAAAACACCAUGUUCAUAUCACAUGUUUAUAGAGUAAAUAGAUAAUCAGGUAAGGAAAUAACUCCAUACACCACAUGCGUUGAAAAGGUUGAAAAACUUUAUUCUUUUACCUGUGCCAUGGAAUGACAAACUGAAAAUGUGAGCACAUAGAAAUAUAGAAUAGCAAAAUCUACAACAAUAAUUGUGGGGGGGGGGGAUUAAAUCCAUAAUUCAACUGCUCAAUUAAUUUCCAAAUAGGAAAAUGCAUUUCCUUACACUACAAACAUAAGUUAGUUUCUUGUUAAAAUAGUAUAACAGGCUCAAUUGAGAUUUAAUAGUUGUAUGGUAUCUUGAGAACCAUGCACCUUAGACCUUCCGAAAAUGUUAAAAGCAUAGCAAUCCUCUAAACUAAGUAUUCGAGAAUAUGCAACAAUACCGUCAAGACUGUCUCCAAUGCAGAUUUAUUUGUAGUUGGAUGCAUGUCAGUAGGAAUCUGCAUUCAGUGAGAGAAACUAGUAUGUAAAGUCAAAUCAUCUGCAAGUAUACCAACAUAAAUCCAUGAGAAAAAUCAGUGACAAAGCAUACCCCACGACCAUUGUCAGUGAUGCUCACAGAAUCAUCUGCAAGUAAAACAACAUCAAUCCUGGAAGCAAAUCCAGCUUGAGCUUCAUCAACAGCAUUAUCCAAAAUCUCAUACACCUAAGGUAGAAAAUAAACUCAACUUCAAUCAGAAAAUUCUCAUAUAAAAAAACAAUCAAACUGCUGCAAAAACAAAAGUAAUUAUCAAAAAGAUACCAAAUGAUGCAACCCACGGGGGCCAGUGCUUCCAAUAUACAUCCCGGGCCUUUUUCUUACAGGAUCCAAACCUUCAAGUACCUAAACAACCAUUGAGGAAUAAAAUCAGCAAUCCAUAAACCAUAACCCCAUGCCAUAUCCAAGCAUACUUGAUAGAGCAAUAUUCUAGAGGGGACAAGAAAUACACAUGACAUUACAUGAAUUAACAUAACACUCAUGCACUUUUUGCAGCACAAUAGCAUUUUACAUCAAUCAAUCUACAGUCAUGUCAAUACGAAGACCAACCGGUCACGAAGCUUAUCCGGGAGAUAUUUUUUAUUUGCAUCCGCAUCUUUUGCGUCUCCUAUUGAUUCUACUCCCGAUUCAUAGCUAGAAAGUACAAUCCAAAAUUAAAACCUUCAAACUAAAUACCUGAAUUUGAUCAGAGCCAUAAGCUUUAGAACUUUCAUUUUUCUGAGAAGGUUCAGCUGCUGGCACCGACGACAUAUACGCCUUUGGAGUCACAGAACAAGGUACUAAAGGGCAAAUAGACCAUUUUCUCUGAGAAAAACUCGUCCUGAUAAAACGAACAAAAUCUUCACAACCUUCGUCAAUAGACACUUUUUAACAAACAAAAAAAAGCAACCACCUUUAUCAGCUAUUCAGCACAAAAAAAGUACCCCAAGAACCCCAUCAUUCUCAUUUUAAGAAACCACAGGUAAAACUCAAAAAUGACAUUGUUCCAGCUUAUAGUAACACUACUAGUACCAACUCUAUCAAUUCUCACUAGAAAAUGCACAUGGGCAGGUAAAAAAUCGUUUCUUUUAUAAAAAAAACCGAUUUUUUUCAAUUAUUAGGAGCAAAAAGGGACAAUAUUUUCUGGGAAAGUAAAAGAAAACAAAGGUAAAGCAGAAAGCGAAGGACUUUAUACCUGGGUUUUGAGAGGGUAGAAAGAGGAAGAGAAGAAGUGGAAGAAGAAGAAGAAUGAGGAUAAGGAAGAGAACGAAGAGAGAAGGAAGAAGCAGUGAAGAAGUAGCGAGAGGCCAUGAAGCGAAGCAGAGGAGGACGAAGAAGAAGCACAGGUGCCAUCAGUGAACUCUAACACAUUGGAAUUGAAAUCAAAAUACAAUACGAACAGCACUCUCUGCUCUUUCCCUCCUUCACUUCACCGGCUAUCUUCUUCCUUUUUUCUUUUUUCUUUUCUUUUUAUGGGCAAAUGUUACUGGUUAAUUGUUAGUAAAUUAAUUCAUGCGUAAGGAUUCGAACCAUGAUCCUUCACCCUGCAAAAUCUCUUCAUUUCCCUUAACUCGCCAAGUGAUUUAUCCUUGUUUCUAUAAAUCUUAUUGUCUUGGCGUAACUCGCUUGUGGAGGUUUUUCCCUCCACACGAAACAAUGUUUUUUUGGUGAGAAGAAAAAUGUACCCCACACGCACUCUUGUGCCCAAAGAAAGUGGUUUUUUAAAAGACCAUGGUGAUUUAACCUUAACUUACAUAGGCCAAUAAAAUUUAAGGACGAUUUAAUCGGAACAGGCAGGUUCGCGCUAAGUUGGGCGAGUCGGUGUUGGUUUGAGCAAGUCAAUAUAUGGUUGGGUAGGCACCAAGUCGGCCAAGCAAAUGUGCUGGUCAAUUUAGGGUUUAAAGUUCAGGUCGAGUUUAAGGGUGAUUUUAGGGCUCGGUGCAAGUCGUAUGUUUCGGUGUUGAGUCUGCACAAAUUCGGGCGGGUUAGUAAUGAGUCAAGAAGACAAACGUGUGGGUCAAAUUUAGGGUUUAGGGUCGAUUUAGGGUUCAGGUUGGUUGUAGGGUUUUUGUUCUAGGGUUCAAGGCAAGUCAACGUUGAGUCGCGUCGGUCAGGUCAGGCGACUCAACAUUGUGUCAAUUUGGAAUUAGGGUCCAAGGAUAAAAUUUGGGAAUUACUUUUUUUUUAUUUUUUCUCAAUUUAAAUUUUAAAAUCACGUUUUAAAAAAUAAUAAAAAUUUAAAUAAUGUAAUGUAAUCACAUUGUUUAAUCAACUAUUUUUAUUCAAUAUGUUGGUCAACUAUUAAAAUGAUUAGGGUGUGGGCUUGCCUUGCGGCUGGUCUUUGUCCUAAUCCACAUCUUCAAUGGGUUGUAAGGUGCCUCUGGAGUUCGGUAGGCUGAAAAAGGUAGAGUAAAAUACACUCCCCUCCCUUGAGGUUUGCCAAUAUAACACUCAGCCUCAUUCUUAAUUAAAAUCUACACUUCACCCCACCUACUCUACCAAGUUAACUACAUCUUAAAAGAUGCUCACGGAAUAUUCUCUUUAAUUCCAAACUAAUAGAUUUAAAUUUUCAAAUAAUAAAAAAAAAAUUUAUUAUUAUUUUUAUUUAAAAAAGUUUAAGAAAUUUACGAUUAAUAUUUUUAUAAUAAUCUAUUUUAAACUAUUUACUGUAUUAUAUUUUGACGAAAGCUACAAAUAUUCUCACAAUAUAAUUUAUGAUAUUAUAUGAUUUUUUUCUUCAUAAAAUUCAUCUUGGAUUAUAUAAUUUCAAGAUAUAUGAAUUAUAUUUUAAUUUUAUAUUGGUACAUUGAAAAGAUAAAUUGCAACUGCCCAUACCCAACUCAUAUAUCCCCAAGCUCUUACCACUUGAGCUAUCAUUGGAGGACAUACAACCAUCAUGUGAUUGAGAUUACUAAGAAUUUAAAUCCAUUUUUUUGAGAAAUGAAACUAUACCCUCAUUUAGUUAUUCUAGUAUACCAAGCACCUCACGUAAUAAUCAUCUGUUAUUUGUUGCAUUUUCGCAUUUUAUUUGGCUAGAUAAUAUUGCAUGUUGCAAGUGCAACCNNNNNNNNNNNNNNNNNNNNNNNNNNNNNNNNNNNNNNNNNNNNNNNNNNNNNNNNNNNNNNNNNNNNNNNNNNNNNNNNNNNNNNNNNNNNNNNNNNNNNNNNNNNNNNNNNNNNNNNNNNNNNNNNNNNNNNNNNNNNNNNNNNNNNNNNNNNNNNNNNNNNNNNNNNNNNNNNNNNNNNNNNNNNNNNNNNNNNNNNNNNNNNNNNNNNNNNNNNNNNNNNNNNNNNNNNNNNNNNNNNNNNNNNNNNNNNNNNNNNNNNNNNNNNNNNNNNNNNNNNNNNNNNNNNNNNNNNNNNNNNNNNNNNNNNNNNNNNNNNNNNNNNNNNNNNNNNNNNNNNNNNNNNNNNNNNNNNNNNNNNNNNNNNNNNNNNNNNNNNNNNNNNNNNNNNNNNNNNNNNNNNNNNNNNNNNNNNNNNNNNNNNNNNNNNNNNNNNNNNNNNNNNNNNNNNNNNNNNNNNNNNNNNNNNNNNNNNNNNNNNNNNNNNNNNNNNNNNNNNNNNNNNNNNNNNNNNNNNNNNNNNNNNNNNNNNNNNNNNNNNNNNNNNNNNNNNNNNNNNNNNNNNNNNNNNNNNNNNNNNNNNNNNNNNNNNNNNNNNNNNNNNNNNNNNNNNNNNNNNNNNNNNNNNNNNNNNNNNNNNNNNNNNNNNNNNNNNNNNNNNNNNNNNNNNNNNNNNNNNNNNNNNNNNNNNNNNNNNNNNNNNNNNNNNNNNNNNNNNNNNNNNNNNNNNNNNNNNNNNNNNNNNNNNNNNNNNNNNNNNNNNNNNNNNNNNNNNNNNNNNNNNNNNNNNNNNNNNNNNNNNNNNNNNNNNNNNNNNNNNNNNNNNNNNNNNNNNNNNNNNNNNNNNNNNNNNNNNNNNNNNNNNNNNNNNNNNNNNNNNNNNNNNNNNNNNNNNNNNNNNNNNNNNNNNNNNNNNNNNNNNNNNNNNNNNNNNNNNNNNNNNNNNNNNNNNNNNNNNNNNNNNNNNNNNNNNNNNNNNNNNNNNNNNNNNNNNNNNNNUCUAUCCUAAUAAGUGUUUGGAACCAAUCUUUUUUUGGGUUAGUCUAAGACUUCUUUGGUUUAUUCCUUGACUUUAUUGUGCUUGUGCACAUAAAGUCUGUUGCUGUAUAUAUUUGGCACUCAAGUGUCUUUGAUGUUAGGCUUUAAGUUAUUUUUGCAGCCUAUAGUUCUGACUAGUAAUGCAUAUGACAACAUGUGGGAACUUUUAUGAUUCUUAGUUCUUUUUAAGACAUAGCUACACUUUGAUACUGCGCUUAUCCCUUAUUGAAAAUGCAUAAUUUUGGCAUAUUAGUUGAACUUGAGCAUCAUUCAACUUGUUGUAAAGCUCACACAAUGUUUUAAGGUGAUGUUAAAUUCAUUUUCUCCAUUAAUCAACUUUAAAAAUGACUUUAUGUUCAGAUUUUGUUGUUUGUAUUCAGAGUUUUAUGAACUCUUUCAGACUUGACAUCAUACGAAUCAUGCAAUUAAUUAGUAGACGCUGUCCAUGAUGUGAAAGUUUUAAAUCUAAAAGUUAGCUCACCCAUAUUUAUUGGAGUUAAUGUUCACUCUUGAGGUCAUUUUUGUUAUCCCUUUCAAAUGUUAUAAAAAGAAAAACAUCCUCUUAUGCACUUUUUCCUACCAUGUAGCAAAGUCUGCUAAAACUCUUUCUUCAUCUAGCUCCUUCAAAUUUAUGACUUGGUUUAUUUACCUACUCAUCCUUUCUUUUUCAUACUGACAUGGCAUAUAGAUGGUACAUAUAUUUGUCCAUGCUUUCAUACUUGCUGUUAGGCAAAGAUAUUAUAUCUUCAUUAUGAGGAGUUUGGAAGAUUAUUACAUAAACUUACUUAAUAAGAGAACCUUACAUCUGCUUUUGUUCAGAGUUUGGACUCAUAUAUGUUACUCCUCUAUUAUGUGCUUUUACAAAGUGACACUUGAAUCUUUACAUACUUAUUCAAUGGAUUAACUUGGUACGAAAAAAUUGGGACUAUUUAUAAUUUGGAAUACCAAACUGAGAUUGAUUUACUAGAACAAAUGUUGUUCAUAUUUCAUUUAUUUUUUUAUCACAUCAAUUAUCAUAUCUCUUACAAUUCUCUCUUAUUUCUAUAGCUUUCUAGGUGUAAGUUGGAAAAAUAGUGUGAAGAUAUACUUUUCAAACAAAAAUGAAAAAGAGAGUCAUUAAAUAAUGGAGGGGUUGGGUGGGAAAAAGAAAGGUAGAAAGUGCACAUGCGAGUGGGGGAAGCGUAAAGUGCACAACCUUACAAAUCUUGAAUCCUAUUCUAACCAAUGUAACGUCUUAGGUCCCCUCUUAUUGUUUUUUCUUCACUCUAACAAUUGGAUUGAUUCCAUAGCAAGGUGGAAGACUUUUAGUUUGUGUUUUUCAUUAAGAUAGACUUAUUUUCUAGUUUCAAAAUAAUGUAAAAAGAAGUUAACUUCAUAAAUUGGAACUUGUAAAAAGUUACGAAAGUUAUAUAGGAAAAUUUACUGUCUCGAGUUUGAUAUGAUUAUCCUUACUUGUUGAGACUUGAGAAUACCUAUAUUAGCCUUCUCCAACAAGUGGAAAAACCUCAUAAGGGGAGUACGUAGGUCCAAUCAAAAAUAAAAUAAAAUAUCAAUUACUUGAGUGAAAUGUAUACUGAGACCUUAUGAGUCUCUUAAAUCCUAUGUGGCAGUAUACACCCACAAAAAUUGAGUUAGGUCCCAAAUUAACAUCUCUUUAUUAGAGAUGCUAACAAUAUCUUCUUCAUUUACAUGUUAGGAUGUGUUUUCCGGCUGAGUUGACACGUGAGAAACCAAACACAAGCUCACAUGUCUUUGUAGACUUUCUUUUCACUUUCAAAUUCUUAGCAACCUAGUUUUGUUAGUUUGCAUUUAGCUUGUUGUUUAUUGGUUGUGACGGACCGGGGUGUUCCAAAAAUGAUGCAAUCGUCUUUCUUUUUUAAUCAAGUAGUAUGUAAGUGUUGUAUUUGCCGCCCUCAAAAUUUUGAUAAUGUCUUUACUCAAUAUUUCUAGUUUCGUCCUGUUUAUUGGGUAUUUAAUUUUUUUUUCUAGUUAUAUUUACAUUUUAGUUAAACGUUCUUGUCAAUUUGUGUUUUCUCAAAUCCUUUUUGUUUGUUGUCAUUACAAUGCAUGUACUUUUUUCUGACAAAUUAAAUCCAUUACCAAAAAUAUUUUCUUGUAUCUGACAAAAAUGUCAUUUUCUGCAAAGAAUCUAUCAAAUCAACUUGAUCCACUAUCAUCUUAAGAGCUACAACUCUUAAAAGUGGUGACCACAAAUAGCUUCAUUCCAUCAAGACAAAAUCCACCACAAACAAUUGCCUACCUUGGUAUGGAAGUUGAUGGAAACUUGAUAGUUAGGUUACUGAUAUGACAGUUUAACGGUUUGACAUAAGCGGAAAAGGAGAACAUUUCAGGCUCCAUAUGAGAAGAAAUGUAUCACCAAGAGAAGGAAGAGGUAAAAGAAAUGAAUAAAUAAAACUAUUUCAAUUUGCAGCUUGUGGUAUAUAAACCUCACAUUCAAAUUUCAAACCCAUAAAAAGGAAUUAAAUCCCUAGUUAGAUCUCUCUUGCGAUCAUAAAUGAUAUUUUUUUCCACCUCAGGUAUUAUCCAAGAGAAGUAAUCAUAUUCGAGUCGAGAACAUAAUGAAAUAAAAAAAAUGAAUACAACUGGAUUUUAGUACAUUAAGUACAAUUAACAUCGAUUAACUCGUUUUCAAAAAAGAAAAACAAUGAUUAACUCGAAUAGAUUUAGGGGUUCAUGAGGGCGACUACUAUAUUUGAAUAUCAUUAUAUUGAGGGAAAAAAUCUCUUGGAGAGGCGGUUGCCCCAUUUUAUGUAUUCUUGGAUCCGUCCCAAGGAUCAUUGUGGAGCUAGCUCUCCCAACGAAUUUUUUUCCAUUCACAAGACUCAAACCCGAGAACUUAAGAAAAAUCAAACAUGUACCACAUAAACAACCAACUGCCCUUUGGUACAUGCAUACUAACUCCAAUCAUCAUCGAUAUUUACACAGAUGGAUCCUGCCCUCCUCUUAUUGUGAGUAAAACCCCAAUGAUCCAUGCUAAUUAUAUGUAAACAUGCAUGCAAAUUGAAUUUAGCCCGCACCAUUGUGGUAUAUAUUAUAGACUGCAUAAGAUGUUUGUCAUGAGACAAAUUCAGUUACUAGUUAGCAAUGUCUUGCUUUUUUUUAUUUUGGUUCAUUGUGAUGUCUUUCUAAUGUAGCAAGAUAAAACGAAUACAUAUAAACAUAGACCAGCUCACCAGCACACAGGUCCAUGGAGUCAUAUGUGCAACCACAAACCAUUAAGCAGGAAAAGAUACAAAAAGAGAGGAAAAUCUCCCUCAAAUAAGCUGAUUUCUGAAAUACAAUUACCAGCUGUAACCUAAAUACAAACACUAUUCUACAUUUUCCCCUUCACCUCUAUCUAUCAAACACCUACACAAUCAAAUUAUUGAGACUAUUUUCAAAGCAAGGGAAAGCUUAAAUAAAAAUGUUGCACCACACCAGCAUCAGGUGGAGAGAAGAGUAAUCACAUUAUCUAAUGUUUACAGCACAGCUAGGCUUCUAGAGGAAUUCAUUGCCAAAGGACACCAGCUUCCAAUUAACUGAUUUAAUGCAGAAGAUUCAAUCCUCAUGUUGAAUGUGAUCUGGCUUGAAAAAACUUCAUGAAUGGAGCCUUGAUAAACUUCACUCCCGUGGCCUGGCCAGCCAGAGAGAACUCAGGGCUCGCAGCCGGGAGAAAUAAUCACUUAUUGCGAGAAGGGCUCGAGCGGAUUGUCUAGUUGUUAAUAUCCUAAGCAUUUGUUGCAAUGUUUGCUGCCGCAGAUUAUCAGCCUAGUAACAUGAAAAAGUGAAUCGACAAAUAUUGUAACUACUGCUUUCAUUUCUGAUGAAUCAAUCAAUCACAUUUGUACUAAGGUGCAUUUUUGGGUAAACAACUUAAUUAAGCACUUAUUGAGUAAGCAUUUAUUCAUAAGCUAAUUUGAGAAGCUUAUUGAAAUAAGCUCAAAAUAUGUUAUAGGUGCAUAUAUAAGCACUUAUUCAUAAGCUCAACUUAGUAGCUUAUGAAAAUAAGCUUAAAACAGUUUAACGAUAGGUCAUAAGCUAUUUAUAUUUUAUAUAUGUUCUCCAAAACAUUUACUAUAAGAUAAACUCGAAUAAACUCUUCCAAACGUGGCCUAUAUCUAGAAUAGUUUGCAUCCGACUUUAUACAAAAUGAAUAGAUCUUUUUUUCCAAAUGGAAUAAAAAGUAAAAACUUCUUUUACUUAAAAAUAACUGAGAAACAAAAAAACACUUGGUUCUAUUUCUAUGUCCAUCUAAAAUUCAGUUCUAAACUCCUGAUUUCUCAUCAUUUCAAAAAGAUUUAAGUUUGAGAAAUUGGAAACAGAUGCAGAUACAAUCAGCUAGUUUACCUGGCGAAGAAAUCCAGCGAGGGUACCUAGCUUUCCCAUCGCCAUAGCCAUUUGCCCCAUGUAGUUGGCCACAUUUCCUGAAGAGCCUGAUGGGUUGGGUGAACCAUUAGCCAAGGUCUCAGAUAGUGAUUGCUGCAAUGCAUCCAUUCCCUGGGAUAGAGCAUCUUCGGCCUGUUGGGAUGACUGUUGCAAGUUGUAGAUGCCCAUCAAUUGUUGCUCAGUUAAAGGCGCCAAUUGAUUUACAAGAAGCUGAAAUAGUGUCAACCCAGUUUUAGAUGGCAUCACAUGACAAAAGGGAAUGAACUUGAUAAUUCAAAACCUGAAUAACUUGGUAUCAAGAUAAGGUUCCUCAAGAAUAUCUUGGAUUUUUUUUUUCAACAACUUCAAGAACAUAGGGGCUGAAUUGCUGUAUAUUUAGAAUCCCCUGGGCUUUUCCCUCACUUUAUAUAUCAUAUAUAUUCAUAGUGCGGAGGAUGUGGUGGGUGUUCAAUACUAGGGAAGUAAUUUUCAAACCAAACUAGAAGGAUGGGGAAAACAGUCCCCGUUAAAAUUGUUUCCACAUUUCGAUUGAAUGAUUAUGGAAUUAAAACUUCUGAAGAACAUUCAAAAGGUCUGAACCAUUGUCUUAGUUAAUUUCCAUUGGACUUGUUGGAAUCCCCCCCCCCAUCCCAUAAAAUAGAGAAAAAAGCAUAUCGGCACAAAGAUAGAUUUAUAAUACCUCUUUAUCUAUCAAAGAUCUAGGGCAAGAUGAAAAAUGAACAAGGAAAAUGUCUUCUCAUACAACCACCUAGCUAUUUUCAACCAUCGUCUUCAAACUCUCACAGUUCAUAAAACAGCGCACAAAAAAAAUGUUUAUUGUUAGCAUUACAAUAUAUAUUAUUCCUCCUCUAGCACAUCAAGUGAUCCAAUUUCAUCAUUCAGUACCAUACAAUAACAACACAUGUCAGUUUUAUUGUGAACUAAAAGCACGUUUACACAGAAGUAUGUACACCGGAAAUGAAUCACAUGCUUGAGAGAUGCAUGAAAAACAGCUUCAUAUGAUUGACCAUUCCCCAAACCUUUUAAAGAUAAUUAAUUAGUUAAACAUUAGCAAAAGGUAAAGCAGACUGUUCUUACAGAGAUUGCUACGGAACUUCCAUACACACACUGGAUGAACAGAACACAAGCACAAAAUGUUUUUGAGAAAUCAUAAUAAAUUGAUUGCCACACUUGUACUUCAGCACAUUGUUGACCAGGAAAAAAUCAUAUCUAACCAUAAAGCAUAAAUAAAAAAAAAAAUUCUCACCUUGAGAAUUUCUGAAAAGCGAAAGCCUCCAAUCCACAUGAAACACCUCUCAGCUGGAGUCUUCCACAUUCCAGACAGGAUGUGAAAAACAUCAGCUUUUGCAGCGAUACCUUUCAGCCUGAAGAGAUCGUCAAAUUGUGUCAUGAAAUUGUCAACAAUGGUACGAAGUUCAAUGUCUCCAGCAUGAGAAUUGAUAGCAGCCCUUAGCUCAUUGGUAUGCCUAUUAUGUUCUUCUAACCAUCGCGCAUAUUCAACAUCAAAUGCUAUAGCACCUGCAUACCAAGAUGAUUAAUCAAUGGAUUAAUGAUCUGAAACAUAACAGAAACAUACGGAAAAUCCCAGCCUAUGACCACCAUGUGGUGCUAUGUUGUAAGAGUUUAAAAUCAUAUAACAGGCUUGCACUUAUGCACAUACACAUGAUGCUGUCCGAAUCACAUCAAGUAAAACCAUAUUCUAUCAUGUACAAUAAGUGCUUAAGUAGAAAGGAUUUCAAUGCAAUAAACAUUUUCAAGCUUGAGGCAUACGAUUAGAGGUAAAAGAAGAUUAAUACCAUUUCCACUCAUUGAAUGGGCCUGCUCUCCGGUGCUUGAAAUAAAUAUUCCCUGGAAAAAGAUUAAUAACCAAAUUGUCACAGAGGCUGUAGUAACAUAACUAGAUUAAUGUAAGCUAACGAAAAAAAGGGUUUCAAAAGGAUGAGAACAAAACUUUGAAUGGAUAAAAUGAAUAAAUUAACACAACCAAACCUGCUGGCGAGCUCGCUGGAGCUCUUGCUCCAGUUGUGUAAGUUUCAACCUACUACUCUCUAACUGUUGCACAUAUGCCUGAAUGAAAAGAAAUAAGGGUUUAAAGAAUAAGAAAUCAAAGCAUGCAAAAUAUUUAAAGUUGUCAUUUGUCAACAAUGUAGCAAUGCUACAUUUAACAACUAACAAAGCUACAACAGAAGGAAUAAGUUUACAAGUUCAUUUACAAUUAACAAAAGGCCCUACCUUUUUCCUCAGUCGGCUUUUUCUAGCAGCUUCACGAUUUUGAGCCAGCCGUCUUAAUGUCUGAAUGGAACACAAAAAUUUAACAUAUAGUACCAAAAGCUUAUGUUAUGUGAAUAUGAUUACUUUAUAUAACCUUUUGAUCUGUUUUAUCUUUUGAUCUAUCACUGGAUUCACCCCUUUCAACCUGCAAAAUAACAAUGAAGAACCAUUUUUAAAGUAUGAAUAACAUGCUCUUAAAAGUUUGAUAACAAUGAACAAUUAGAAGGAAAAAUUAUCCCCAAUAUCACAUCAUAACUCCAGGGGGCAUCACCAAUAGGCAUUUGAUUUCAAUCGAUGAAUAGAUUGAAUUACAGAUGCUGAAUAAACUGUAUAAUUAAAGUAAAAUAAUCACCAUUUGAUUUUUAUCAUCUGUAUCAUCUGUUGAUGUAGGGCUCGCAUCACCCGUGUUGGACUCGCCCCAGUUUUCGCGAUGACCUCCAGAUGUUGAAGCCAGAUUUGGUUGCGAGUCUUUCUGUAAUGGCAUCAUCUGAGACCCCGCAAUUGCAGCAGAGAGGUUAUUAUCCGAGGUUGCAAUUGACUGUAUCUUACAUGCAAGAGAAAUCCAGGACUUCAUCAUAUUGCAGUUAAUUGAUUAUUGAAAGCACAUAACCGCAUAAAGAAGAUAUAAUUUUACCUUGCUCAAAGCACCGAACUGAAUAUCAGCACCAAGAGCUUGGCUAUUUGAUUUCAUUUGAUUGAACACAGGAUCUGAAACAUAAUAUACAAAUAAAAGGGUCAUGGUGGUUAGAUUAAGUGCCAACAAGAGGGGGGCGACUAUUCUAAUACUAUGUAUUUCUAUCAUUGUUCAGUUACUUUUUAAUGAGUUUUCUGUGAGGUUAAUGAAACAGUUUUUGGUUUAACAUCUAGUUAUUUUAUUCCAACAAUAAUCCUAUAUCUUCUGAUUGCUUUUGAAGGAUCACACUUGAGGAAACACAAAUUUCUUCUAGAACAGUGUAGGUAGAAAUCUGAUGAAGGCUCAUGUUAAUAACAGAUUAGGAACAAGUGAAAACCAUUGGAGAAGAUAUGAUUCAUUAGAUUUUAAAUAUAAAUUAUACAACAUCAGACACAGUAAGCCAUGGUGAAUUCACAAAGUAAUGCUCAGAAAGACAAAGAUCCACAAGAAAAAUCAAGAAAACCAAGAUUUCCUUGAGGUACAAACAUUUUAGCAUCAUUCAUAGCAAUAAAAAACUUAGCCCCGAGAAGUACAAAUAGAAUGGAAGGCCAACUUUAGCAGCAAGUUACAAACAAAUGCAAAUGCAAAGGAUAUGAUUCACUUUUGAAUAAAAAGCAUUGGCAAGCACAACAACAUAAGCAACGAGAAUGCGAGACAAGAUCUUAAAUUCAUAAAACAGCAGCCCACACUUCACAGUAACAAGAAGUACGACAUAAAAAAGGUAGUCCAACUGUUAGAGAUCAAACAGUGAGCAACAUACUUCUGCUAAGAUUCAUGGUAUCUUCAAUACGAAAUCCAAGAGAUUGUUCGAGGGCUCCAAAUUCAGAAAUUCGAGAAGGAUGAACAUUAGUUGCUUCAAUGCCCCUGAACACCAAAAGCAUGAGAACAUGUAAAAAAAGAGUUAUUAAAAGCAUAUCCAAAUUAUCCACUGGAGGAUCAGAGAGCUAUGACGACACUGGUGAAAUCCACCUAUUCAAGCGAAAGAAAAGUCUAACUUGGCUAAUCGAGAUAUAACAACAAAUCCAUGAGAAGAUUUGAACACAAAAAGUCACAGCAAUCUUUUUAAGUCGCCAAUUAAGAAAAGCUUUCAGAAGGUUGUGCACUCUCAACUUUUAAGAGUUAAAAGAAACGGUGACAGUCCGCAACAGAAGGAUCAAUGAAUAAGCAACAACCAGUAAAAUUAAAACAUUAUAAAGAUGUUUUUUUCACACUACAUGCUUUCCUCUGGAAUCUUGCAACCGACAAGGCCUAACGUCAACAGCAAAGGCUCUUCAAUAACAUGAAUACAUGAAUAGCUCCUACUAGUAUUACAGGACUUGUACAAAAAUAGUAUAGCCUGUUUGGAUAGACUUCUUUUUCCUCAGAAUCAAUUCUGUCCACCAGAAGCUACUCACAGAAGCUUCUCCCAAAAUUGAUUCCGGCUCUAGAAUCAAUUCUAGAAGGAUUUCCAAACAUGUACCUAUACAUAUUGACUUGAUCCCAGAAACCUAUUAUAAGACCAAUCAUGAGAAAAACCAAAAACAUGGAACAGAAGGGGCACUGGAAAAUUUACAUGGAACUAGAAGUAGAAGGCAAUGGAGGAGGAGCGUAGCUUGGCAUCCUGUUCACAACCUUGUUACUGUCCUCAGUGUUAUUAGCAUUAACUGUUCUACUUCUACUACCCAUUAAUAACCAUGCUCAGCACAUCAACGAUCAUCUUAUAUUUCUCCAAAACAUUAAUCCAAAGAUGCCCUGAACCAAUUUCAUAAAGCACACAACUUUAGUCAAACCCACCUCAAAAUAUCAAAAAACAAAAACUCAGCAAGCAAAAUCUCAUCAAGGAAACCACAAUUCAACAAGCUACAAAAAUUGAAUUUUUCAUACAGACUAACAGCAAGCUCAGGAAACAUGAAUCAAGAUAAACAGCAAAAAACAUGUUAUCAAAACAUUGGCGGCAAAACAUCAGAAGUAGAAAAAAAAAACAGCAUCACUUGAAACUCAAAAACCAAAACCUUAGCAGCACCAAAAAACCAAAACUGAAUUUUGAAAAGGAAAAUUGAAGGCCCACCUUGUGAAAUCAAAGCUGAGCAACAUGAACUUGAAAAGGAGGAGCUACCCAAGAUUGCUAUGGAUAAAAAUUGAAAAGGGUAGAGAUAAAAAAAGUGAUUUUGAACAAAACCAAGCUGAAAAAAUGAAGUUUCUAGAGAUUUAAGCAAUACCCAGAAGAAGAAACCGAUGGAAAAUUAGACCAACAAACCCUAACAAGUGACAAGUUGAUGAUAAAUAUCGAGGCUUUUUGACUUUUUUGAUCGAAAGGAAUACCACUUUAAUAUUUGAGUGUAGGUGGAAAAUUAAUCUCACAGUUACCAACUGAGAAAAUACAUCUUUGAAGCGAAAAAACAUCAUGUUUUCAAGUUGAUCAUUUUAGUAUAAUAUAAAAUAUAUUUCAAAGUUUUCAUUUAAUCAACACUAAUUUUUUUCUUCCAUAUCUAUUUCACUCACUUUCUCUUAAUUUUUUUCUUAUUACAUCAUCUAUCCACUUUCAUUUCUCUUUAAUCUAGUUAUUUUAUUUAUUUAUUUAUCUCAUGUAGAUGUGUUUACAGUGUGAAUAAAUAAAUAUUUUAUAAUUUAUGAAUGGUAGAAAGAGUAACGGAGAGAGAGAAAGAGGGGAGGAAGCGUGACGUUUAGACCAUUCCAAUUUCUUGCAUACGUCCUUUUCGUCUGAAACUCAUUUUUUCCAUAAAACUUCCUUUUUAAAUUCUUCAAAUUUCUGUUAACUUUACCGCUUUUUGUUUUUUCGUUAUUGUCUUCAUAUUUUUCUUAGUUUUACUUUACUUUUGGUUCUUAAUUUGAUCAAAGUCUCGUUUUAGUCCAUUAAUAAUUUUUUAUCAAAUUUAGUUUCUUAUAAUCCAGGUUUGAAUUAUGGCUUCCACCUUCCCUGCACCUAAGAAUAAUUUACAAAUUCAUAAGAGCAAGAAAACAAUAUGUUCGACGUGGGUAACCGGACUAGAAGUUUUCAUGUGUUUCCCUUAGAAACUCAAUAAAGGAGUUGUUGGCUUCCAAAUGGUCGACCCAUAGUGCAACUGACCCCCCUUCAAAGCCAUCCACUAGAGGGGGUAGUUUCAAUCCGUUUAUGGGUAGACCGAGGAUAUUGACCACGUUAUGAAGAGUAUGGAUCAUCAUGAAAGCAGGGAAGAUGAAGUCGUUGGCGAAUGUCAAUCAGAAGCCAUCAAAGCCGAACAAAAACUCGGGGUAGCAGGGGAUGGCUUCAUGGGACAACAUGACCAUAUUGUAGAUACUCCACCAUUUCCAGUUAUCCCCACGGAACGACACUAUUCAAGCCACCCAUUCGUCAUAAUGCAACAUUGAGGCAGGCCACCCAUGGAAUUGGCAGGGGCACCAAUGGUAAUUAAAUAUUGUAUGACGAUGGGUGGACGAUGGUGAUCGACUAUUAUGAACUCAGUGGCGAUAAGAUGGUACGCAGUACCUUGAGUGGUUCAAAUUGUUUUUUUUUCUCGUGAGUAGGGAAUAGAUCAGUACUUUUUGAUACAACACGUAACAAUUAAAUCAAGAAUACAUGGGGAAACAUGUUGGCACCUAGAAAUCACAACGACUACUUUGGCAACCGAAGAAACAUAGUAGGCAUAACAUUGAACUAGAUGUAGGAAGAGUAGCCGAAGGAGGGAGGUUAGUCGUUUGCACAACAUGAUGAGACAAUUAAGUGAAAGGGAGAAUGCCUUUGGGCAAGAUUCGUGGACAAGUACAAAUACUUGGGCAAUUAUUAGUUUUUAAUUAGUACCAUGUAAGUGUUAUGUGAGAUGCAAAUAAGUAACACAAGAAAGGGGGGUUUGAAUUGUGUACUUUGAAAUUUAAGUUUUAAAGCUUUGUUUUAUGAAAAGAAUACAAGUUCUUUUAAGAAAACGUUUAAGUAUGACUUUUCAUAAACUGUUCAGUGCAACGGAAGUAAAACAGUAAGUAAGACAAAACGAUCAGCACACAAGGAUUUAUACUGGUUCACCCUAAAUGAUUGGGCUACGUCCAGUACUUGGUCACCACCAAGAUUUUCACUAGCAAGUAUCAAGGACUUCUCAAAUACAAGUAUUCGACAUGACUUCUCCAAGUAUUAUCACAGACUUCUCCAAAUAUUCUACAUGACUCCUCCUACAAGUAUUGUUCAGGACUUCUUCAAAAUCUCACAAAGAUUUAAAUCACUCUACAGGGUUUCUCUUCUUUCAAGAGUGGAGGUAGAGAAUUUAUGGCACUGGAACUUUAUGUGUUUGGGUUCAUAUUUGACUUUAGGUCACUUAUGAGUUCUAACGUAAGAGUAAAGAGAAUAAAGAGGUUUGAAUCUUUUCAGGUACGAGGUUUUCUCUUUCACUUGCAGAAGUAAUGGCUUGUGUUUGACACUUAAGAAUUUCUGCUUGAGCUUUGAAUGCUUUUGAGAAGUUUGAAAUGAAUGCUUGAAUGCUUGUAUUCUCAGGAUUAAUUCUCUCUGUCUUCAGAUCUUCAAGAGUAUCUUAAAUACAUGCUUGUUAGUGUUGUAGCCGUUGAGAGAUGAGAUCCAACCGUUGCAUUAGUCGUUGUGAAGUAAGAUCAGACCGUUGAUUCGAAUGGCUUUGGUUGGUAGCUUCGUUUAAUGCGGAUUCAGAAGCAAAUCUAUCCUUUAGCUAUAAAGACGAUAUUUGUCAGCUAGUAGGUGGUGAUAAACUUUGGGCUACUUUUCAGACAUGAGACAAUUUGGCAAUUUGAUGUUGACGACUUGUACUUUUCCUCAUGUGUCAGCGUGCCUUUAGCUGAAGGAAAUUGUCUUCACUUAAUCUAGUUUGAAAAUCAGUCAAAUGGUUGCCUUUUGAUAUGAAUGUUAGACAUCUGGUUGUAAUCAAACUAUAACUUUUGGCGCUCAAAAUAUUGUCUUCAAAAAAUCUGACUAAUAACGUGGCAAUGAACGGUCAGACAUUUGAGGCUUGAAUAAGAGUUAGUUCUCUUCUGCAGAACUGUUUUGCAACUGCUAAAAUCUUCUUCUAUCUGCGACAUUUUCCUUUUUGAAAUGAUAGAACGUUGAAGCGUAUAGCCUUUACUCGAGUUUCUCCUGAAAUUCAAGUGUAGUGGCGAGUUCAAUUUUCAGCGAAACUUCUUACUAUAAAAUUUUUAUAAUCAAAAUAAGAUUUUAAAAACGCUAUGAUGCGUUUGUACUUAACAUUAUGAGGGGCAGUUAUUCUUAGCUAGGUUAGCUUGAUUUGCCCAUUUUCUGUUUUCAUGUUCAACGAAAAAAUAGAAAAUACAUGACUAAAAACAUGUUUAGAUUGAUAUUUAGAAAAUGAAAAUGUUUUCUUAGAAAAUAAUUUUUAAAAUAUGACCAAAACAGAAAACAAAAAAAUUACUUUCAUUUUUACUAUAAAAAAAUGAGUUGUCGCUACUGUCACUACUAAUAAUGCCGCCACCGUUGGCACCAACUUGUGAGAUGAAAAGGAGUGAUGAUGGAGUUUGGUGGUAGCAGCAGCAGAGACAAUGGUAAUGGUGAUAAUGGUAUCAACGACAAUGAAAGUGGUGGUGCGGCAAUGGCGACAGUGGGGGCAGGUGGGAGGGGGUGAAUGUGAUGGUAGAGGCGGCGACAGAGAUGGUGGUAGCAACGAUGGUCAUGGCAGUGGUGGCUAAGACAAUUAUGGCAACGGUGGCGGCGGCAAACGUCGAUCAUGGCAUAAAAAUGAAAACAUAAAGUUAAAACAAUGGCGACAGUGGGGGCAGGUGGGAGGUGGUGAAUGUGAUGGUAGUGGCGGGGACAGAGAUGGUGGUAGCAACGAUGGUCAUGGCAGUGGUGGCUACGACAAUUAUGGCAACGGUGGCGGCGGCAAACGUCGAUCAUGGCAUAAAAAUGAAAACAUAAAGUUAAAACAAAUAUAUUUUCAAAUUUUUAGAAUUUAAAAUAUAAACUAUUUUCAGAUAAUGAAAAUAAAAAAUAAAAACAGAAAAUAUUUUUUUAAACCAAACAUAUUUAUUUUUUUUCUGCGUACACAUCACUAUAAUUUUGUAUUUAUCAAUAAAAUUUGUUGGUUUAUAUAAAAUAUAACACAACGUCAAUAUUAGAUUUAAAAUACUAUUUAAUUUAUAUGUUUUAAUUUGUACACCAAUAAUACUUUUUUGGGUUCAAAUUGCAAGCUCGGUUCAUCUGGCUUAUUCGGCGUAUUGCUCACUAUAUAUCCUCAGGGUCACAGCAGCUAAGAGCAAUGAUUUGCUUUAGUAAAAAGUAGUGCUCAGGGUUUCAUUAUCAUUAUGCUUUAGAAUACAUGAGUCUUGAGCAUGAUUUAGUUGUAGAUUAAAUGUUCAAUUCAAUCAUAUCAUAUAAGUAUUCAAUUCAAUGAAAACCAGAGUUCCAUUUAUGUUUUAAUUUGUUUUGUUCUAUGCUUGAAUUACCCUUUUUUUAAUUAAUCAUGAAAUUAUUAUUUUUAAGGUAAUUAAUCAGGAAAUUCUAAAGCUACUUAUGAUUUUUUUAGAAAUUAAUUUUAACGUUAUAUAAUCAAUUAAAUAAAAAAAUUCAGUACUAUAUAUAUUUUCUCUUCUUAAUUCAUUGCAAAAUGCAAAUGGAUGAGACCUAAUAAUGAUUCUGCAGCCUCGUGUGAAGGUCCCAAUAAAUAAUAAAUAAUAAUGAUAAUAAUAAUAUGGUAUGGUCCCUCACGUGCAAUAAUGAAUAAUAUACCCUUCCAUGCACGUUAAAUCACAACAUGGCCAGUGAGCAACGCACUCAUUGCAACAUCUAUGGGAUUGAGGCAGUGGCAUUUUCAUAAUUUCCACAAACAAGAGGGGCCUUUUGGUCAAGUCAUUGGAAACCGUGAAGCAGAAAUGAAUCUGGAGCCGUCUUCUUUGAACUACAGCGCCGCCUGCUUGCUUCGAAGGAAGCUAACCGAGAAGUUUCGUUUUUUUGUCGGAAUGACGAUAAUACCCCUAUGACAACAAGUUCAAGGAGAUUACUUGGACUCAAAGAAAAUUGUCAAAUUGGAAUUAAGUAACUCAUCUCCCACCUGCUACUGUUGCUAGUGAUUGAAAUUAUUGAUUGUUUCAUUACCCUGUUACGAAUAAGUCAAAAAGGGUAUAUAUCCCUUUUGUUUUCGGUACAACCUUUAUAUUGUAGGACAACACGAUGUUUAGGGAACAAUAAUCAUUAGCCAUUUGGGUAGGUAAGAAGAUAAGCACUCAUUAGUAAAUCUCUAAAAUCAAUCGUGAAAUCGAUUUAAGUUAAAGAGAAGACCCUCCCCAUUGAGCAUGGAUCAUGUUUAUCUAACGGUAGACAUACUAGAUAUUCAUAAAGGAGAUGAUACAAGUUUAAACUCUAAAAAAAUCAUCUAUUGAAAUGGAUUAUCAUAGUUUUCCACGCGGGGGUUUACACUAGUCUAAAGAUCUUAAAAAACAUGUUCAGCUUAAAAUAUUUUGAAUAAAUAUUUUGAAUAGUCAGAUGCAGUGUGACAAGUUCUUCCUCUGCUAGGAGAGCCACCUCUAAGUAUUGUGUUUUCCUCGGUGAUAAAUUAAUCUCCUAAAAGAGUAAGAAACAAAAUAUAAUGGCGAUCAAGUGCAGAAGGAGAAUAUCGAGCCUUGUUAUAAUCACUUGUGAACUUAUAUGCUAAAAAGUGUUUCAAGACCUGAGAUUUGAGGUUGUUUCACAUAUGACACUUAUUUGUGACAAUCGGAUAACCUUACACAUUGCCUCAAAAUUCAUUGUUCCAUGAGAAGACAAACACAUUAACCUUGAUUAUCAUACUAUUAAAGACAAGAUUUUAUCUAGAGAUAAUAACACUAGAUUCGUAUAUUCAUGAUCAGUUGGGUGAUGUUUUUGCUAUAUUUUUGAAACGUUUGUUGCGCAUGACAUAUGUGCAGUAGCUUGAACAGAUGUUAGAUAUCUUCUAAAUAAGUUAAGAUAUUUUCUACUAAUCGUAAUUGGAUAGUUUUUUUUUUUUUGAACAGAGUAAUUGGAUAGUUUAAUCAAUGUAAAUUAGGAGGAAACAAUAAUACUUUGAAUUUGUUGUACCUAUUUUAUAGGGUUAAAGGUCAUAUUAGUCUCUAUGUUUGUAAAAGCGUUUGAUUUUGGUUCCUCAGUCAAAAAAACGCCGGUAACUGUAUUAUAAACCGCCCGUAAUUGUAAAAAAAACCGACUGCGCGACUGAUGGUUCAGCUAUGAGAUUGGCCCUCAGUCAAAAAAACGCCGGUAACUGUAUUAUAAACCGCCCGUAAUUGUAAAAAAAACCGUCACUAAACGUCAUUUUUUGGCUAAGGGAUUAAAAUCAAACCCUUUUACAAACACAGGGACUAAUAUGACCUUUAACCUAUUUUAUAUAAUACUUUGAAACACACUGAUUUAGUCCAAUACCUCUCAAUCUCAAUUCAGUUAGCAAGCUUGAUAGAAGAUGAUUAAGUUGAAUGACACAUUGGAGGGGUUUACUUGAUCCAGAGUGCUUAUUCAUUUGUCAUCCCCAUGAAAGUCGUGUAGAUAUAUAGCAGCAUAUUUGGGAACCUGAAAUUAAUAGCUAGUUUUAAUUUGAAUUUCAGGAAGGAAAGAUCUUCGUCAAGCAUUUUUAACAUUCCCCUCCACUGAAUUGGAUCAUCAUGCUCUGGCAUGUUCCUCAAAUGUGAUUGGAUUUAUGAGCCAUAUUUGGAUUUUCAGAAACAUAUGGUACAUCAUGGAACAAAGCUAUUAAUCUGCUGUCCUAAUCAUCUUAGAUCACAACAAGCAAUAAGCAUGAAACUUUGGCGCUGAGAAAAAAUGUAUGGGAUAUAGAAAGGGAAAAAUUACAAGAUUCAUCAAUUGGGUAUUUUAAUUUUACCUCCUCAUUUUGUUCUAAGGCUGCAAGAGAUUUCCAUAGCCACAAUAAUUAAGUCCUCUCAUAUGAUACCCUUAUAUAUAUGAAGUGUAUCAUGUCAGUCAGACAGAGGAAGAAUUACUCUUGCCUAAUUCAAUCUUACAUGAUAAUCUACUUAUAAGUUUGCCACUCACUUGCAAAACAUCAAAAUGUCAUCAAAUUUUGUCUUUGAUGGAAAGAUCAAAGAUGGAUGACCUGCAAAAUCAUUGAUUCACAACAUGUAAAUAAUCUUAGCCCUUUCAUUCAAGAGUGAGAAGCAUUGGAAAAUCAAUAACUUGAAAGCAUUAGUCACAAACAAAAUUUUCACAAGGAGAUAUACUAAGAGAAGGUUAAAUUAAAUUUCCCAAUGCAAAUGGAGACUAUCUGCUCUUAUACGAUUUACUAUAUAAUACUUGAACCAGGCAAAACAGAGAAAACGAGGUACAAAAUGGUUUUAUAGAGAACUACAGACAUUAGAUUAGGAUACAAACAAGUUUUGCAUAGUAUUUUGUGACACUUAUGUUCUACUUUUUUCCCCCAUUUUGCUUCGAGGCAGAAACUUAUUGCAUCAUUUUACCUAAAUUUUUUGAGUCAGUUCUAAAAGGUUUGAAGAACUUCAGAAUCAGAUAUAUAUCAACAAUGAGCUAGGACAAAUUCCUCUAACGUUUUGCUAAGCCAUGAAGGCAUAGCGACAUCAUUUUACACAACAAAAGUCAGAGCAACCAGAAUAAUAACAUAAAGUCCCACAUCGGUAGCGCCACACUAUAUUCGAAAGUUUAUAUACCACACGCUGACAGUUCUGGUCACGACCUUACUUGAACAGGAUCUGUUCUAUAGGCUCGUACAACUGUAUCCUUGAGUUCUAAGGAGACAGGAACCAAAGUCUGGUUGAUGAACACUGACCGUGUGAUCAGAGCGUGAUUAAUAGUCGUCCGAUUGACCUUCGGGUUCAUCAGAUCGACGGUGGAGGAUCGUUCUCAGCUGGUAUCACCGGCUGGGGUGGUCACACGGUUGUCUGACAGACUCCUACUUUUUUUUUUAAUUUUUUAUCGACAUUUUUACAAAGGAAAAUAGAGACUAGGCAGAAAUUAAGAAAAAUUUGUGUGCUGGGUUAACUUCCAUAGCAGUAAGCAAUGAGUUUUGAGUUCCUAAAUUCUUAGUUUUAUUAAAUAAAUAAAUGAAAAACAAGAUUAAAUAAAAGAGCAAAGGGAAGAACAAAAUAGAAGUAGAAAAUGCUUAAUUUGAUUACCUUUACUCCCACUCAAAGUAACGAUUUUGCUUCAAGAGUAGGUCAUCACGUUCAGCUGUUGUUUGCUUCAUGGUGAAAAUGUGGUCUCACAGUCACUCUACUUGAGGAUAAAUUGAGUUUCCCUUUUCCACAAACUUAAGAAGUAGUCAAUGUUACAAAAAAAUACAAGAAAAAGAAAGAAAGCACAGUAAGAUGGUAGAGGCAACAUGCAAGAAAAAUUUGCAAAGAUGGAGAAAGAAACGGUUCAACAGACCAGGUGGAGGCUUGGAGCUUCAGUAAAGAGUUAAAGAUAAAAGCUUGGUACAUAGAUAUUUGAGGUUGGAAAAUCGCCACGUUGAAGGGGUGAAAAAUUUAUUUACAGAAAAAAAAGACCUUCACCAAAAGUAAAAGGCCUUCAGGGGGGUACAAUUCUCUACAGUCUUAGACCAUCUGUAACCAAUGAAUGGGCUUUUAUUUCUCUCAGAAGAUUUUGGAAGCCCAACUUACAAGGGGUUUGUCAGAAGAAGAAAAACUUACAAAAUGUUAUUAGAGAAUAUAUUUUUCUUAGAUGUGGAAAAAGAACAACAGAAAAAAAGUCCCAGCUACCUUUGGCUGAUUUCUUUAGUUUUUCCCUUGUUUAGUCACAGCUAGCAGACCCGUUUGAUUUGUCUUGUUAUUAUUGUUUUCUUUUGGGCUUCUGUAGAAUUAGCUGUUUGUAUUAGGCUUCUCAGCCUUGGGCUUGGCCCUUUAUCAUUGAAUCACCACUCUUUGACCAAAAAAAAAAAGACAAGUUGCACAAUAUUACUGAGAAUACUCUAAUCCUUAUUUUCUAAUUCAUUUUCUAUUACUUCAAUCUCUAAUAUUAUUCAUAUUUUUUAUUUUAUCCUUUAUUUUUAAUUCAAUUUAUCAUCUUUAUCUCUAAAUUUAUAUUAAGAGCUAAAAGAUGAAUCUAUUUAUAAAGCUGCACAAAUGUUUAAGGACUGAAGGGCAAUACAUUACUAAGAUAUCAAUCAAGAUAGCCUGAUCUAAAUGAUGACCUACUUAUAAUUAAAGAUAACUAACUACGUUUGGGAAAAUAACUUAAUUAAGCGCUCAUGAUUAUAAGCACUUAUAAUAUAAGCGCUUAUUCAUAAACUAUUUUAAAAAGUUUAUUGAAAUAAAUUGAAAAUAAAAAAUAUAUAAACAUAAGCUUUUUUUUCAUAAGCUAUCCUGAAUAGCUUAUAAAAAUAAGUUCAAGGCCAUAAACGCUUAUGCUAUCAGAUAAGCUCAAAUAAUCUCUUCCGAAUCCUACUAUAGGAUUUUGAAGAACUGUACUUACCGAACGUAACUAUCAAUUACAAGAACUCGACCUAUAGGAUGAAGGCAAUUAGCAUGCAUUACAAUGUCUGAGUCAUACAGAAAGGUGGAAGUGUAUGAAGCAGGGAAACCAUAACCUCCAAAAUUAAAUAGCCGUCUAUGAUCCCAAAUUAAAGAUUUUGAGAAAGUGGAGUCUAAUGCUAUUAUUGGGCUUGUGCUUGAUAUUUUGAUCACCAAUACUUUUUUGUAUAUUGAAAGAUAAAUUACACCUAUCAAUGAUUGAUCUCUAAACUUUCUCCUUCCCAACCAAUAUAUUAUGCCGUUCAUGUCACUUGAGUUAUUUUUCGGUGACACUGAUCAUCAAUCAUCACUAUCGAGACUCCAAAAUUAGGAGAGAGUUUAUUUUUAUCUGAACUUUCAGCAUUGUCUAGCGAUAACCACGAUCUAAUCAAGGUUACUUAUGUUUUGGGGAAAUCCAUGUUAAUUAAACGAUAUAAUAUUAAUAUUUAUUUGUGGUGUAAAAGAUUAAGUAACAAGUAGGGAUGACAACGGGUCGGGUCGGGCUCGAGUUUUGCCUAUCCCAAACCCAAACCCAAACCCAAACUCUCAUAUAAACCCAAACCCAAACUCGUUGUAACCCUCAAAUUCACGUCCUAACCUAACUUGAUGUAUAGAUUUUUUUGCAAAACAAAAGGCAACUUGUAUUAUUUUGUUGUGGAAAAAACCUUUUAUAUCUUUUUUGCCAAAAAAUAUGACACCUUAAUGUUAAAAUAUGAUCAAAUUGUUAAAAAAUUAAGUUGUUAACAUGAUAUGUAAGAGUAGUUUUGCUAUUUCAUAUAUAAUGUUAGGGUUCGGUGCGGGUUUCACCAAUGUCAAACCCAAACCCAAUUAUAUCGGGUUUUACCUGUAAAAUCGGGUUCGGACGGGCCCCACGAAUUCGGGUUCCGUUGCCAUCCCUAGUAACAAGACCGUUGAGUUCACUUCAUGUCCCUUUUGCUAAUUCACAAUAAGUCUAGCCGCGGGUGAUCGAGUCCUUCACGUUUGUUACUUGCGUUAGCAGCCUAGAUAAAUUCUCAAAACCUAGCAAUAUACAUUAAUUUCUUAUCAUCCAUUUGGACAGUCUGGUUCCGCAUCCCAAGUCUGGAACGUACCACCUUCGUUUGUGUCUACGUCUCUGUUUUUGGAUGCUAGCUAGUUUUCUUUUCUGUUAAUUUUCCUCUUGUAACCAAAAAAAAAUAUUAGUUGAUACAUAUUGUCCAUUGAAAUUCAAUUACUAAUAUUGGGUCAAUAAACUUGCUGGCUCAUAUAAUUAGCUUGUUCGAAUUGGGGAGAAAGUUGAUUAGACAUUCUAUUCUAUUGUAGGAACUCCAAAAUAAAAUAGAUUUCCGAAAAUGUAAGAUCAAUCAGUAAGAUUCUAGAAAAUUAACUUCCUGGUCAUAGAUUAUGGUUAAGGAUUUCAACCUUUAUUCAUUUCAUACUCCAAUUUUGUUCAACUUUAUUUUACUUAAAAAAAUAGAGUAUUACGCCUGAUGAAAUUAGACCUCAUAAAAUUUACUGUAUAAUCGUACUGUUUAAAAAAACUUUAUCAAAUAAUUAACUUUAAAAACUAUUUGAUAACUUAUCAAAUAGUUAUUUUUAAAUAGCGACGUUAUGGACAAUGAAGGGUGGUGUUGGGGAUGGUAAAGGUGGCGACAUCGGUGGUGAAGACAAAAGAGUCAACAAUAGUGGAAGGUGGUGACAACAACAAUGAAGGGUGGUUAAUGUGGCAGCAAUGAUUUCGACGACGAUGACGAAGGAGGAGGGUUGUGGUGGAUGAAGGGUGGUUAAUGUGGCAGCAAUGAUUGCAGUGACGAUGACGAAGAAGAAGGGUUGUGGUGGAAAGUGUUGUUGUGUUGUAUGGUGGUGGUGGCAACAAUGGUAGUGAUGUGCAACAUUUGUUCUAGUGGCGGCAACAUCGACGGAGGGUGUGGUGGUAUUGGUGAUGACUGUGGUGAUCGUAGUGGUGGUUGCAAAGACAAUGAAAAUAUAUGACAACAACAACAUUGGUGGUAGUCGUGGAGGGUAGUGUUGGCAGCGACGAUAAGCCAGGGGCAAUAACAUGAAGGUUGAGACAGUAGUGGCAUUGUGGCAGUGCUGGAGGGUGGUGGUGUUGGUGGUGAUGGAUAAAGUAUUUUCAUGUAGCUUGUACGUCGCUAUCAAAUAGCUGACAAGAUAUAAAAGUAUAAGAGAGGAUUGAAAAAUAACAUGAUUAAUUACAUUUUUUAAUAUUUUUUUAAAGUUUGGACAAUUAAUGAGAAUCAAAGAUAGGAAAUAAAAUAUUCAUUCAAAAAAAAAGAUAGGAAAAAAUAUAAUCAAAUGAUUGGUAGAGAUAAAAAAAGAAAAGGAAAAAGAAAAUAGAUAAAAAUGAAAUGAAAUAGAAGUGAUGUGUGAAUGGUAGAAAAUUGAAAUAAAAUUGAAUGAAAAUAAAGAAAGUUGAUUGGAAAUUAAUAAAUAGAUAGGUGAUUGAUUACUGAUAAGAGCAGCCGAUAGCAGGCUGGACUGACAGCUUCAUAGGCAACUUGUGGACGAUGACGUCAUCUAACGUCCUUUCAUGAGCGUCAUCACAUCUAAUUUCCCCUUUCAGCGUCUGCCACGUGGCGUCAUCAUUAUUGAUCAACUUGCUCACAUAAUUUCACCCCACCCGCGCGUGUAUAACACCUAUAAAAGUACUCCUCCUUUAUGUCAUGUACUGUAUGCACAUAUCUUAUAGACAACAAUUAAUUAUAUUUAAUAUCAUCAUAAAAUAAAAAUAAAUUAUACUUCAUCUAAUCAAUCAAUUCGUUGUUGACUGAGGAAAUUUAUAAUUGAGGGAGGGUCAUCAAAAAAGUGAAGUGAGUUACCCAAAUUAGAUUAUUUUUUUCUAAACUUCAGAUGAGCUAGCUCGAGUGGCAUAUGAGUUGGUUGGACAAAUUUGAUUUGAUUUUUUUUGAACUUGAUUUGAUUUGAUUAGUCUAUAAGAAUGUGAAUUGAGUUAGGUUACCACACUUUUAACAUUUGAGUUAAAAAUUUCAAUUCAACCCAUAUUUUAGCGGGUCAUGCCGCUNNNNNNNNNNNNNNNNGCUUCAUGUUGACUCACUUAUAAAUGUAGUAAAAUAAAAUAAAAAUUAUGCAUUCAACAUGUUAAAAUUAGAAUAAUCACAAAAUUAUAUUUGUUCUUUACCUUUGAAGUUAUGAGCUCAACAAAAAAACUUCACCGAUGACAAUACCAUACAAAUAUUUAUCAUGUCUUAUUAAAAAUAAUAACUCUAACCUUAAUGAAAAUGAUUGUGUAUAAAUGUCAAUAACCUUCACAAAAUCAUUAGUAACUGUCCAUUUUUCUUUCGUACGCAAUCACAAAAGCUUCUUAACCUUACAAUGUAUGCUCUACAAUCAUAUGCAGGAGUUUAUUUGAGUGAUCAAUAAUAAUCAACCGGUAACUAUAAACGAUAUUGUCAUGCAAUUAUGAAUAUUUUAGACAAAACAUAAUCUACAACUAAGAGUAAAAAUAUGAGUUGUUGAGCCGAUCGUCCAACCCGCCAAAAUGCAAGUUAUACUAACCUACUUUUAAAAUUCAAGUUCAAAAUCCAAACCCAAUCCACCACCAAAGAUGGUGUAAAACCGACUUGUCUAAAAGACGAAGCUCAUUUAUCUCUCUUGUAUACAUUUUUAGGUGUUUGUUGUGGUACCUUAUUUUGGGUUAAGGUAUGGAACCCAAAAUGAUUGACAUAGUAAUAAAGUGAGUCAGCAAUUGUAUUUUCCUAACAAUGUACCUUAAGAUUAAUGACAUCGACUCAAUCAGUGUUAGACGUCUCCCUUGAUCGAAACAUGUCUCUCAGACUCACUCUUGAGAUCGAGAUUCACGACAACUGCUUUAAAGUCGAGAUGAACGCCUGUAUUUUUCCAACAAUGUACCUUAAGAUUAAUAACACCGACUCAAUCAGUGUUAGACGUCUCCCUUGAUCGAAACAUGUCUCUCAGACUUAAUGUUAUGAUCGAGAUUCACUGCAACUAAUUUAAAGUCGAGAUGAACGCCAUCAAAGAUCGUUAGAGGGCAGUUGAGUUACCUAGUAAACAAGAGCAUUAUUGCAUCAAAAUCAUACUUUAAGAAUUAUAGUUUCAAUUACUACUUGUCAUUAUUAUAUUGAAUUAUCUAAUGUGAGUAUCUUACCUAUAAAAGAAAAUACAAAUACAACAGAGUUCACAUUUUUUUAAAGGUAUACCCGGCCGGUUAUUUUAGGAAACUGAGUUUGCAUUUGUGGGACUAGCCCAAUGUGGCAACAGUAGAUGCAGUAUGUAUAUGAGAAAAUGACGUACAAUAAUAAUACUAAAUAGUAAUGAUUUUAAAACAAUAAAUAAAUAAAAGAAAAAGGUGCACACGCGCGUACAGUGUCCAUGAGCUUCCCUUCUUCCGUUCCGUUCCUUCGCAAUAACUUCCCCAUAUGCCCCAUCCGAACGCCCUCACAGUCACUCAUCACUUUCCUUCCAUCGUUUUCUCCCCUUUUGUCUUUUCAUAGGACACUCUCCCCCUUUCCCCUAAUUAUCAAACACUACCCCCCUUCUUUAUUCCAUGUGUACAGUUGUUAAAAAAAAAAUCAAUUUGGAAAACUUCCUGAUCUGACGACGAGUCUCACAAUAACAAUGCAAGAGAUUCAUGCGCUUUCUAAGAAAACUUCUCAAGAGAUUAACCGUACAAUUUUAAAUUUUUUUCAUGACGAACACACUUAACUUUAGAGUUUUAUGGACUGAGCUACUUAAAACAAGAUGCACAUUAAGUAAUUAAUAUCUGACAAAUUUUAUUAGUUUUUCUCAUAUGUAUAGUCUCAUAUUCAUACGGUAUUGGAAUAUCCCUAUUUAUGGUACCGUGGGAUCGAUUCAGCCAUGUGUUCACUCAUGUAGAAAUCUUGUUGUAAGACCCGAGUUUUUAAGCUUAGAAUAAGUGGAAGAGAUUCUAUCAAGCUUUUUUCAAAGCAAAAGUUGUAUAGCCCGACAAGGUUUAAAUGAUGAGUUCUACCAAUUGUACUCACUUCUGCCAUGAAUUGCUGCUCCGUCACACUUAAGUUAUGGAUUCGUCUGAGAUAUGUGCUAGGAUUAUUGGUUCACACAAUUCUGUAGUAGUAAUGGUUACUUUAUACAUUGGAAUUUGAACAUAAAUUACACAACUCUGCACCUUCUUCUACUUUGAAUUUUUAUCUACCAUGUCAAAUGGAAUGAGAAUAGGCUUCAGUUAUGUACUCUUAGUGGGGAUGAUAUAUUUUACAAUUUGGGUGAGCCACAAAUUAAGCCAAAAUGGUCAACCACCAGCGUUAAGCCCCGAAGGAUGGUUAGAGCGGAAUAGUUCAUUGUAUUUGGACACAAUGUACUAAACUGAGGACAAUAACUAUGGACCAGGAGCUAGGCUAGAUAAAAAGGUUAAAUGGUCACGCUUCCAUGUGAUUAGUGAUUCUAAGUAGGCUAGCAAAUUCGCAGUAUCUGAACUCAUUAAGGGGGAACAAUGGUUACUUUCAACCGGAGUACCCUUCGUUCCUGGAUUAGGGGACUAAAUAAAUGUGACUUCGGCAAUAUGAUGACAUAAAUAAUAAAGUAUUGUUUUAGUAAAAUCAUGUAUCUAUUAAUACUGCACUAUAUGUGUCUAGAAAGAAUUUCCAACACAAAUGAACACUAUCACAUCUCAUACUGGAAAAAGGUCAUGCCUAGCAUUUUCUUUCUCCUUCAAACUAGGCAACAUAUCAGCAGAUUUUGACAUUCUACCAUUUGUGCGUUCGUGCAGUGUGCAUGCGGCGUGAGACAUAUGUAUGCUUGUAUGUGCUUGUUCUCUUUAUAUUGUUUGUUGUAUGCAGGGAUACGGUACAAGGAACAUAAGUUUCUGAUUAGAGGAUGUGGCUGAGUGUUAUAGUUUUUGAUACAAAUACAUGCAUGGAGGGACCGGAAGACACUAGAAGUGACAGAGUGAAAGGGUAUAUUUUCCCCUAUAAUAGACCAAUUGAGCUUGUUGGUUUAGGAGCUCCUCACCCACGUGCGUUCUGUUUCAGUUCUAGAUCACUCCAGUAGCAAGGGUCAUAGCCAACUUCCUUUAUGGGUGGAGCUAGGGGACCUACUAGAAAAUCUGGAGCUUGCACAAGUUGUAUUUGUUGCUGGUGGAAGUGAAAAUUUUAGUACAACCAUGGAUAUAGUGCAUACAACUCCUAACUAUAGCAAGAAACGCUUUGAGAUGUACAUAAAGAAGGAUACACUCAGAUCGUUGAGAUUGGAAAGAAUCAGUGGAACUAAAGUUGAUUGGAGAUAAUAUGGGUCUCAACGUUAGUACUAUCAUUUGCGUGUGCUCUUUAUUCUAACAUCCUUUUCAUAUUUAAAUUUUAUAACAAAAAUAAAAUAUUAAAAUAAUUUAUAUAUAGAAUAUCAAUUAAAAAUCCUACAUCUCAAAAGGUUAUAACUUUGAAUUUAAUUGAUAUUGUUUCAUGAAUGUAGCUGCUGACUCCACAUAAUGGAAAUCACAUCAAAUUGACAUCAUAUUAAGUCUUUAAAAGUCAUCAUAUAUCGAAAUUAAAUUAUCAUCACAAUAACACCUCUUUCUUUUGGCUUCUUCGUGUUUAAGUUCAUAAAACACAUAAACAAUAAUUAUGUCGUCACUAUAUAUAAAUCGGAACAUAUAUAGAUAAGCUUUCAAAUGUAAUUUGUUUUCUAAGCCAUCACCAAGCUAAAUUUUCACAUUUUUAGUAAGGGAACGUGUGGGGAUUCUCCAUCUUGAGGUAGGCAAUGGAGAUUUGAGUACAUAAAUUUAAAUAUAGCCUAAGUAGUCGGUUCAAUCGUCGUCUUUCUAACUUAAGAAUCUUUGAAAAAUGUAUGUGUUCGAUAUUGAGAGUUUUGCUAAUAUUGUUGUUCCAUACAAGGAUAACUUUUACUUUAUAUGUAGGUUUCAGCCAAGGUGGAUUAGCAUAUCAAUACCAACCGCAAAGCACAACACAUAAUUGGGUUUUGUGACAGCAUAUUAUAAGGAAGACUGAAUCAUAAUAAUGAGGAUAUAACUAAAACUGCUACUUCUAAGACAGCUUAUUUUUCAUAGAUUUGGUGUCGCAUGGUUUAAAUUUGAAUGAAAUGUGUCCAGCCAUGUAGGUUGUAUGUAUUUCUUUUUGCCAACUUCAUAUUUGUUGUGAAAUGGUAGAUGUAUGAUACGAGAAAUACAAGAAAGGUUGUAAAAGUAAAGAGCAAAACCUGUCAUCACCUACAAAUCAACUUGCAGCCCUUAACUAAAUUCCAAAUAUAGACAAGCCUAGAAUGUCUCUCAUCCACAUGAGCUAGUUGUCCCUUCAGGCAAAUGGUAUUAAAUUUGCAAAUGUCGGAACAAAGAAGACGAAGGAGAAAAAACUAAUAACAUUAAACCAAUUGUUCAUUCUCUUUCCCUCUUGUCUCCGGAGUCAAGGCAGAGGUGCCUCCCUCUGCCUUAGACAAAUUUCACAAUGGCAUUUCAGGAUUUUGAUGUCAUUUCAGAACGGCGAAAGAAUGAAGAGAAGAUGAAAAUGAGAAAGAAGAUUAUCAUCAUUGGAAUUUCCUCCAUUCUCCUUGCAUGUGUGGUAGCUGCUGCAGCAUUUGUUGUUGUCAAAAGAACUGGCCCUGACAGCAACAACAAAGUGAAUGCUCCCUCAGCACCUGCGAACGCCCAACAAGUCGAUCAAUAUUCAAGGCUUGUGAAAAUGAUAUGCAGCUCAGCACAAUACAAGAGCAAAUGUGAAAGCACCCUUACUGAGGCAUUGAAGAAGGACCCUAGACAUGCAAAGCCAAAGGAUCUUCUCUUGAUUUCCAUGAUGCUUGCUGAGGCUGAGAUUAACAAGGCCUUCAACAAAACCGCCACCUUGAAGUUUGCUUCUGAGGAGGAGAAAGGAGCAUAUGAAGAUUGCAAGCAGCUCUUUGAGGAUGCCAAGGAAGAAAUGGGAUUCUCUAUCACUGAAGUUGGAUCAAAUGAUUUGGCUAAGCUUUCCGAGAAAUCUUCUGAACUUAACAACUGGCUCAGUGCAGUCAUAUCUUACCAACAGACCUGCAUUGAUGGGUUUCCAGAAGGAAAAUUGAAGACUGAAUUUGAGAAGCUCUUUAAGGAAUCUCGGGAACUUAUUAGCAAUUCCCUUUCUGUUGUGUCAGAGGUGUCUACAUUCUUUUCUGCAUUCGAUGGAGCUUCAGGGUUUCACUUAACAUGGGCAAAAACUGAUGCCCCUCUAGCUCCUGCUCAUGCUCCUGGUUCUGGCAUUGUCCCUGCUCCUGGUCCUGAUCCUGGUCCUGGUUCAGCUGCUCCUGGCCCAUCUCCUGUUUAUGCUCCUGGACCUGCUCCAAUUUUGGCUCCUGGUCCUGGUCCUGCUUGGCUUAGCCUUCCAGAGUUGAAGGGAACAGAUGAGAAACCCAUACCUAAUGUCACGGUGGCAAAAGAUGGCAGUGGAAACUUCAAAACCAUCUCUGAAGCUUUGGCAGCAAUCCCACCAACCUACGAAGGAAGGUAUGCAAUUAGUGCUUGUGAGGUUCAAUUUUAAGGAAACAAUGAUAUUUUACAACUCUCAAGAAAGCUUUUGGAAUAUAACAAAAUAAAAAAGUGGAAUACACUUCAUAACAUUCAUUUUAACACAUUGCUAAUAAUGGAACUAGUAAAUUUCAUCUAAAAUUGAAAGUGUACUAAUUCCUAUUCAGAAAAGAAAAGUGUAGACUUUUUCCUCUAACUGUUGCGUUCAUUUAUCUAUUUUAAUUCGGGUCAUCUAUGCCCAUGCAUAGCUUAUGAUAUUUUCUAAUGUUGAAAUGCAUGCAGGUACGUGGUUUAUGUUAAAGAAGGAAUAUAUGAUGAAACAGUGACGGUGACAAAGAAAAUGGUAAAUGUAACCAUGUAUGGUGAUGGAUCUCAAAAGAGCAUCAUCACUGGGAGCAAAAAUUUUGUGGAUGGAGUCAGGACUUUCCAAACUGCCACAUUUG